rnacentral:lncRNA from 1 species
AAUUAAUACUUAAAAUGACAUACCCCGACCGAGAUCGAGGCAUGCUGGUACAGUGCAGAAGCGAUAAUGAUAAGAAAUGUACGAGUAAAUAAAAACCGAAGGCUACUAAUGUGCACUGAUAAGCAGAAAGUGCUAGGAGUGAGAUACAAGAGUAAAUACUCCUAAUUAGAGCAUAGAAAGUCUAGGUACAGUCUAAUAGGACAAGUACUAGUUAUACAGUACCAGAAGAUAUCCUACGAAUAAUUUAUUCUAUCAGUACCGCCGAGAUCCUCAAUGCCACCCACAACAAGUCUACCUAAAACCUAAAAGGGCGCAAAACAGAAAAUGUGAGUGGGCAAAAACAAAGCUUUUCAAAAUCAUUUCAUUAUCAAAUGCUCUAACCCCUAGCCGUAAAACAUGUAUAAUUUUCCCAUAAAUUGAAUAUGAAUAUAAAAAUAUAUAUAGAGAUAUAUUCAAGUCAUGCUUCACAUCUCCAUAAACAUAAGUAUGCCAUGCCAAAUAUAAAACAGAAUAAGUAACUCAGGUGAAAAUAAAUUCAUGGAAAAUAAUAUAUUAGCCGGAACCCAUGCAUAAGUCUAUAUGGCUGAAUUCAUAGCUCAUUAGUCAAUCUAGCCGGAGUCACUGUAAGUGACCUAUACGGCGCUACACUGCAUACAAGUCGGAACCAUUGGAAGGGUCUAUACGACAAGACUGGAUGUAAUUUGGCAUGACAAUUUAAAUCAUAACUCAUUUAAAUGCAUUUUCUGGGAAAAUAUCAAGUAUAUAAGUAUAUACUGAAAACCAAAAUGCCACUCACUAGUAUGUCGAAGGGAUGUAGCCCCCGAGUCAUCCUUGACUACACUCGUCCUCGGGAUAAGUCUCCCCUAUAUGCGAAACAACUAUAAAAACGUUAAUUUAAAGCACAUAACCAAUACUAGCUAAUAACUUCUCAUACAUUACUCAAAUGGGAUGUUUGAAUAUACCAACGUGAUCUACACAACCUCAUGAACAUCCCCAUAUUUUUAGAAAAAUUUUCCGACAUCCCACGAGCCGACAAGGGCACAGCAACACUCGCGGCCACGCGCAGGGACCCUAACGGAAUCCCCUAACCCCGUUAGGAAUAUUCGGUGGAAUAUUUCGUUAAAAAGUAACAUAAACCGUUAAUUCUACCUGAUGGUGUCAGAUUAUUUCGUCAACUCUGACGGAAUAUUCUAUUUUCUUCUCCGGUUAGCCUCACCGGUCUCCGUCGCCGUCGCAAUUCACCGGAAACUAGAAAAUCACGAAAACCUUCAUAUCUCGUCCAAUUCUGAACCAAAUUCCACGAAACUUGAACCAAAUUGAGGCUUAGGACAAGUAGAACAAAACCUUACCUUUCAAAAGUCCUAAAACCUACGGAACUCGCUUGAAAAUCCAUCGAUAUUCCGGCUAAACCUGCAACUCCCUAUUCUCGAGCUUCCCGACAUCCAAAUCAUUUCAUUUUUCUUCUCUGAGCCUCGUGAAGAUGAUCUAAAGCUCCUUAUACUUCAAAACUCUCAGAAAACUACAUAUUUACGUGUGCAUGAAUAGUACCUAAAAUUGGAUGUUAUGGUUUCUCGGGUUUUACAAGCUUUCAAGUCCUAAAAAUUGUACGAAUGGACUCAAGAGCUUGUAGGGAACAAGAACAUCACCUUUUUAACAUCGAUCUGUGACUGGUUGAAGGAGUUUAAGGUUGACCGUACGGCUUGUAUGGAAACUGAAGGAAAUCCAAGAGGGAAGGGAGAGAGAGAGAGUCAACAGGAGAAAGAGAAAAGUACAGGUGCUUGUGUGUGGUCCUAGUUGGUUACAAGCAACAAAACUAAGUCCCAAGUGUUCCAAAAACUUAGGAAAAUCUUUGAAUUGGUCCAAAUAAAACUUCACCCACAUGACCACACAAAACGUCCAAGGGUAAAUAAGUAAUCUCACGCUGUCGAAAAUAAAUAUUUCAGGACAGGCUAUGACACAAAACACAUAAAACAAAGGUUAUGGAUGUUCCAUGUCAUCAUCCGUUAUGUCGUCGUCGUCGUCGGCAUUGGCAUAACUAGCGAACUGGGUAAGCAACGGUAAUGAAUAAAAUACUUUAUGUUAUCUCAUAUAAUAUUUUAAAAUUUUAAUAAAUAAAAUACGUAAUAAAAAACAAAAAUAUAAUUUUAUGAUAAAAUUUCAUCACAUACGAAUUGAACCAUAGUCUAAUUAAUGAAAGUAUAAAUAAACUCUAAGUGUUAAUGAAUCUACCGUUUUGAUGGGAUACGCAUCCUAUUAAACUAAUUUCAACGAUCCAACCAUCAAACUUUUUUGUAUAUGCUUCGAGAUCGCAUACGCCAAAAAUUGAAAAAAAACAAACAUUCAGAGAUCAAGUAACGGGACAAAACUUUUCAACUGUUAUAAAUGAAAAAUCAUGAUUUAACGGUUACUUUAACUCCGAUUUUGAUGAUUUUUUACAGCUACACUCCUUGAUCCUAUAUGAAUACAAUGAACUAAUUUGAUCGUCAAUUUAAAAUAUUUACAUAAGUGGAUACCACAAAAUCUUAUGUCAUAGUUAAUGAAAGUAUGAAUAAACUAUUAAGUGUUAGUGAAUCUAUUGUUUUGAUGGGAUACACAUUCUACGAAACUAGUUUUAACGAUCUAACCGUCAAACAUGUUUGUAUAUACUUCGAGAUCGUAUAUGCCAAAAUUUGCAAAAAAAAAAAAAAAAAAAACAUUCAGAGAUCAAGUAACGGGACAAAACUUUCCAACGGUUAUAAAACGAAAAAUCACGAUUUAACGGUUAUUUUAACUUCAAUUUUGAUGAUUUUUUAUAGCUACACUCUUUGAUCCUAUAUGAAUAUAAUGAAUGAAUUUGAUCUUCAAUUUAAAAUAUUUACACUAGUGGAUACCACAAAAUCUUAUGUUAUACUUAAUGAUAGUAUAAAUAAACUCUAAGUGUUAGUGAAUCUAUCGUUUUGAUGGGAUACGCAUCAUACGAAAUUAAUUUCAACGAUCUAACUGUCAAACUUGUUUAUAUAUGCUUCGAGAUCACAUACGCCAAAAAUUGCCAAAAAAAAAAAGCAUUCAGAGAUCAAGUAACGAGACAAAACUUUUCGACGGUUAUAAACGAAAAAUCGCGAUUUAACGGUUAUUUUAACUCCGAUUUUGAUGAUUUUUUUAUAGCUACACUCCUUGAUCCUAUAUGAAUACAAUGAACUAAUUUGAUUGUCAAUUUAAAAUAUUUAUGUCAUAGUUAGUGAAAGUAUAAAUAAACUAUUAAGUGUUAGUGAAUCUAUUGUUUUGAUGGGAUACACAUUCUACGAAACUAGUGUAACGAUUCAACCAUCAAACAUGUUUGUAUAUACUUCGAGAUCGUAUAUGCCAAAAAUUGCAAAAAAAAAAAAACAUUCAGAGAUCAAGUAACGGAACAAAACUUUUCGACGGUUAUAAAACAAAAAAUCACGAUUUAAAGGUUAUUUUAACUCCAAUUUUGAUUAUUUUUUAUAGCUACACUCCUUGAUCCUAUAUGAAUACAAUGAAUGAAUUCGAUCUUCAAUUUAAAAUAUUUACACUAGUGGAUACCACAAAAUCUUAUGUUAUACUUAAUGAUAGUAUAAAUAAACUCUAAGUGUUAGUGAAUCUAUCAUUCUGAUGGGAUACGCAUCCUACGAAACUAAUUUCAAUGAAUCGUCAAACUUGUUUAUAUAUGCUUCAAGAUCGCAUACGCCAAAAAUUACAAAAAAAAAAACAUUCAGAGAUCAAGUAACGAGACAAAACUUUUCGACGAUUAUAAACAAAAAAUCACGAUUUAACUGUUAUUUUAACUCUGAUUUUGAUGAUUUUUUACAGCUACACUCCUUGAUCUUAUAUGAAUACAAUGAACUAAUUUGAUCGUCAAUUUAAAAUAUUUACAUAAUUGAAUACCACAAAAUCUUAUGUCAUGAUGAUCGAUGAAAAUUGAGGAUUUUGUAAAAGGAAUAACAUGCAAGCUUUGAGUUCCAUUGGCAAGGUUUAAACAUUUGAGAAAGGCUUCACAACCUUGAAAACAAAAACUCUUUCAUUUUGCAUAUCCUUGCACAUUUAACAUUUUGUAAUAGAGUAGUAGUGUAUGGAUGUUUAUUUAUUAAGCUCUUAUUUUCGAGUGUAGAUGUAGUACUUAAACGACAAAUGUGUUUUAAUGUUUUGAAGUAAUAUUUAUAUGGCAAUGUGUGGUAUGUGCAAAUUUAAUAAAAAAAAAUAUAUUUUUCUUAAUGGGUCAUAACGGGUCGCCUGUUAAGAUAAUGGGUGAGACACGACAUGACCCGUUAAGAUAACAGGUGUUACACGAAAACGAUAGACACGACCCAUUUGCCAAGCCUAGUUGCGUGCCACCUCAUAAACUCAUCCUUAAGAAACAUGAAACAGAGGAAGAAGAAAACACGGGGGAUAGUGUAUAAAGACUCUUGAUGCACAAAAUCGGGUCAAUCUUGGAGCAACGUAAAUCCGACCAUGAAUAACACAAAUGCACAAGAACACAAAGAUAUAUCGUGGCUCACCUCAAGUUGAGGCUACGUCCACACUGGUGUUGAUUUUGUUUCACUAUGUAAAUGAAUGUUGAAUAUACAUAGAGGCUAUAGAGGCAGUGUUUGCUCUCUUUGCUAUUCUGUUUGCUCUCUCAUUUCCCCUCUGUCUGUUUCCCUUCCUCUUAAAUGAGUGUGAGGGAGCCCUUUUAUAGAAUAAGGGUUUCUUCCCCUCUUACAUGAAUCAUGGGUUAAGUAAUAAAGCCCAAAUACUGAGGCCUAAUAUAUGGUAUAACAGGAGUCCCACAAGUCUUCAGUCAAGAGAGUCUUUUGGCUGGAGACUUCAAAUCCAAUCCAUGUACGGGCCGAAGUGAUUAGAUGUCGUCCAGAACUAGUACUCAACAUGAGACGGUGCUUAACGUGAAGCAAUACUCAGCUUGAGGUAGCACACGUUGCGAUGUCGCUUGGCUAGAGGCAAUGCUCGCGGUGAGGCGAUUGCUCGGCUGAAGGUGGUGAUCGUUCUGAAGCGGCUUAGCUUAUGGCGUUCUUUAUUACGAGUAUGCACUCGACGUCAGCGUGAGCUCAUUAUGAGUUAAUUCUUGACAUGACUCGAAUCCGCUUGUUGGGUUUGUAUAUGGGUCUAUGUGUCGGGUGAAUCUUUUGGUUGGAGACUUCAAAUUCAAUUCAUGUGCAGGCCGAAGUGACUAGAUGUUGUCAUGAACUAGUACUCGGCAAAGUAAUACUCAGUUAGAGGUAUCACACGUUGCGAGAUUGCUUGGCUAGAGGCAAUGCUCGUGGCGAGGCGGUUGCUCAGCUGGAAGCGGUGCUCGUUGCAAGGCGGCUCAGCUCGUGGCGUUCCUCGUUGCGAGUAUGCACUUAACAUUAGCGUGUACUCAGUAUGAGUUAACUCUUGACAUGACUCGAGUCCGCUUGUCGGGUUCGCAUAUUGGAUCUUUGUGACGGGUCUGCGAAUUGGGUCCACAGGUCGGGUCUUUAAGUCGGGGCCAUUCGUAGGGUCCAUGAGUUGGGUCCACAAAUUGGGUCCGUGAGUCGGGGUUCGAGCUCAAAGGUGUCCAAUCUCGUAAGUGCCCGAACUAAUGGGUGUCCAAACUCGUAGGUGUCCAAACUCGCAGGUGUCCAAGCAUAUAGGUGUCCAAAUGAGCGAGUGUCCGAGCAAGUGGGUGUCCGGUCAGACAAGAGAUUAUUGUUCAAACUAAAUCUUUGUCACCAUAAGAAUGUGGUUCAUCAGUCUAUAAGUUGGUAGGCUUCUUUAAUAAGUGACAAUGUUGAUCAAUAGAGCUAGCUGCUCAAUAAUUCAUGACAAUAAAUGACAGUAUAAGUAUGAACGUAUAAUGAAUAAAUCAAAUUGACAUAGUUUGGCAAGGCAAAAUAUUGUACCAUAUGCCUACUACAAAUAAAUAAUUUAUUAAGUUGUUUGGUAAAUCACAUGUUGCAUAAGUGACAUAGUUAAAGGCAGUCACAAUAUCACUAGACCAUGAAUAAAUAUUGCUUAUGUAAAUAUGUGCGAUCACAAAAUGAGUUAUUAUUUGGAUGGCACCUUGAGCAUAUGUAAUUAAUGUAGCAUGCAGCAUGUAGCAUGUAAUCUUAAUAAGAUGAAUGUAGGGAUAAUGCGCAUAUAUGUAUAUAUGCACAACUUUGUAUUGUGGAGUGUGGACCGUGUCCUAAUAGUGAAAGAGUGAAAAUAUGUCAUGUGUCAGACUUUCCACGUAGUGGAAUAGUCAUGUGGAAUAAUCAUGAUAAAGUGGCAUUAUGAUGACAAGCAUGGACACACAGGGUAUGUGGUAUUAGCAGCCUGUGUUGGCAUAUUAGUAAUGAUGCGACAAAAGAUUAUCAUCAUAAUAAAAUCUUUAAAUAAACAUAUAUCUGUAUACUUGCAUUGUGUAGUGUGCCAUGAGUCACAUUUAAAUAAUGAAUAUGAUAUUAAAAAAUGAUUAAAGCUAUGUUAUUUUAAAAUGAGGUGGCCGACACCUUGUAACAAAUAUCACAAUAUAUAAUAAUAACAUAUUAAAUAAAAAGAUAAGGUUCUUAUCUUCUUCCUGGUUUCCCGUGGGUUUUUUCAGUGGGAUAAUGGGUACAUGUCCUCGCGAACUUUGGUUCUUGUGGACUCUCAAACUACUGCCAUGGUUGUGUUCUGCUGCUUCUACUUCCUCUGAGAAGAAGACCAGAACUUGAAGAGCUACAAGGCACAUCAGAGCUUGGAGCUUGAAACCCAUUUGGGAUUUUGAGUUUGUGUAGAAGUAAAAGUGAAGCAGGAAAGCAAGAAGGUGCGCAGAAUGGUGAAAUUGGUGAACUUCACUAUGGAUCCAACGGCUGAGAAGCACUGAGGCUCUAUUUUCUGAUGCAGGUUUAAUUUGUAACAGUGAUGCUUAUGUUUUGAUUUAGCUCUCAAGAUCUGCACAGAAAAUGUAGAGAGAGAUAGAUGAGGUGGUGUCUGUGUUUCCAUCGCUGCGACCAUGACGGAGAGUUGGAGUGGAAGGCAUAGGUUUUGCAAUGACUCUGCAGGUGUUUGGUUCUUAGGUUUCUGCAGAUUCACAGUGGACAUUGUGAGGUUUGAUGAAAAAAUAAAAGAGAACUGACAUAACUUUUCAUAUCGUUUCCCACAGACGGCGCCAAAUGUUUGUGCACAAAAUUGGGUCGAUCUUAGACCAACGUAAAUCCGACCGUGAAUCACACAAACGCACAAGAACACAAAGAUAUGUCGUGGUUCACCUCAAGUUGAGGCUACGUCCACACUAGUGUUGGUUUCACUAUGUAAAUGAAUGUUGAAUAUACAUGGAGGCUAUAGAGGUAGUGUUUGCUCUCUUUACUAUUAUGUUUGCUCUCCCGUUUCCCCUCUAUCUGUUUCCCUUCCUCUUAAGUGAGUGUGAGGGAGCCCUUUUAUAGAAUAAGGGUCUCCUCCCCUCUUACAUGAAUCAUGGGCUAAGUAAUGAAGCCCAAAUACUGAGGCCCAAUAUAUGGUAUAACAAAGACCAUCAAUCUGUUGCUUACAACCGACAUCAAGUUUCAAAAUAUUAAAAAAAAUAAAAUAUAUGUCGCUCAAGCUUUAAAAUAUUUAAAAACAAUACUUUAUGUCGCUUAAAAGUGACACCAAUACUUUAUGUCACUUAAAAGUGACACUAUUUUUUUUAAAGUGACACCAUUAUUUAAAAAUUAUUAAAAUGUAUGUCGGUUAUAAGCGACAUUAAAUGUUUACAUCGGUUAAAAGUGACAUAGACAGUGUUUCCAAAUCCAAAUAUCAAUGUAUUUUCUAAUAAAAGUGUAUCCAAAUCCAAUGCAAUGGUAUAUUUGGAAGGUGAGAUUCCAAAUCCAAGAAUUUUAAUUGUUAUUAAUUUUUUUAAUAAUUGUUAUUAAAUUUUUUCAAUACAAGUGAUAUUUUACAUUGUAAUUAUUUAUCUGAAAGAAUAUAAAUUUUAAGUUCAUCGUAUCUAGUUUAAACCAAUUGUCGUACAGAUGACCUCGGACAUUUUCAAAUUAUAAAAUGUUGUAGUAGUUUCAUCACUAAUUUUUUGUUUAUUAAUUAACUAAUUAAUAUGUAAAGUUACAAAUAAUAGAUGAGAAACUAUCACCAUACCAAGAGAUAGUUAGUGGAAGAUUACAAUGGAAAAGUGAUGCUGGCCCCUUUGUUUUUAUAUGUCAUCACUUGUCGUAUUUGGGAUUUUCGAUUUUCCAAUGUUUCUGAGGAUACAACUUGGUCGUCCAAUCCUGGUAAAAUAUUAGUAUUAUAGUUAUUUAAUUAUGUGGUUUGCUUGUUAGUUAAGAUUUGGGCCUAACCCAUCCAAAUUAGGUUUUUUAAGUUUUGCUCAAUAAAUAUAGCUUAUAGUUUAGUUUGAAAAACAAUUAAGUCAGUUACAAUGUAAUCUUUUUGGAUUGUGUACCCGUCUUGACAAAUUUUUAGUAUUUCUUUGUUUUCAAUAAUAUUUCUAGUUUUGUUAUCAAUUUGGUCGUCUGUUAUGUGUAUCCUGAUUUUCAACUACGCCAUAGGGAUUGCCUUGACGGUGUUUGUAAACAAAUCUAAGUCUUAAUUCCAAUCAGGUACGGUCCAAUAUAAUUGGUGAAGACUAAUAAGAUGGAAGUGAACAGUUGAAUGCAACUUUUUUUAUAUAUAUAAGCAAUAUUCAACUGUAAAGUAAUCUAAAUUGCAAAGAGAAAGACUCGAUCUUGAGCGAAUAGGAGGGAACCGACCGAGCACGUCCGCUCUACCCAUAUGCCUACGCUUACGUCUGCAAUGGUUGAAAGGACCUUAGUAUCUCUUGUUUGUGGCUAGAAUUUCCGUUGGGGAUGUUUCCUAGCCGACGAGCACACAACUCCCCGAGAGGUUGGCGCCGAUUAAUGCUUUAUGUCGAGCUUCUGCUCAUUAGCGGGCUUGUCGGGAAAAUCUUGUCGGGCAAGGCUUGUCGGGCAAGGCUGAAAGAGAAAGACAAGGUUAACUUUGAAAGGUGCCUUUGUAGGGCCUUAGGUGUAGGCCUUGAGGCUCACAAUCAAGAUUAACUUUUAGGUGUUCAGGCAUGCCACUGCCAUCUUUAGCAUGGCAUAUGUAAAACAAAUGUUGAGUUUUAAUUGUAUAUAUACCCGAGAGGCUAUUUUAGUAUGAAAGGUGCCUUUGUGGGGCCUUAGGUGUAGGCCUUGAGGCUUCCCAUCAAUAACUAACCCAGUACUCAAAUAUAUAAUGUUUAUUUCAUUGAUUGCAGAAGUGUUAUGACUAUUAUACUUCUAAUUACUCGAGCCCGAAGAGCAGAAUAAAUCCAAAUAAGUGCCUUUGUAGGGCCUUGAGGCUUCCCAUCAAAAUUACUUCUAUACUCAAACGUUCUAUGAUAAUCAGAAUAUAACAGAAAUAAAACUAGGAAAUAGGUCGAUUACUUGGGUCCCAAGUAACUUCGGACUUCUUGUUAUCAAAGACUGUCGUGGAUGGGUUAAGUCCACAUAAGGUUCUUUCUUAUGCCUUGAGACCAAGGACUUUUGAAUGAUCAAUCUUACAUGCCCAAGGGUUUAGAACUUAGAUCUGAUUUAAGUUGUGACUACAUAUUCCAAUCGGAUUCAAGCACUGAGGAGUCUUUUGAUCAUAAACUUGCUAGAACUAACUUGGAUACAAAUGGAAGUAUACAACAUAUUACUAGACUUAUGAAUGAAAAGACAAAAACAAAGAGGGUCGGGCAAGGUUUCACCUUGUCGGGCAAGACUGAUCGUCUUGCAACUUCCUAUCUUUGUGAUUUAUAGAGAGGCUUGAGAGCUUAGAAAGAGGGAUAGGGAGAUGAGUUUACAGAAGGAAAUCGAUACUACAGCAGGAUUUAUACAAGGUAGCAGAGCUUUUACAAAGGAUUUGGGUGAGGGUUGAUCCCGAAAGGGAUGAAGGCUUGAGCUGACUACAGCUUCGUUGAAAGCAAAUAUGGCUUGACCAGAGUUUAUGCUUGUAUUUGUUUGUUUGUUUGAGUGUCCCCAUCUCUAAUAUCUCUUUCUUCUUUUAUAGACAAUUUGGCUUGGCCUUCUGUAGCUUUAACCUUGCCCGAAUGCAGGUUGAAGGGCAAUGACUCAUCAGCUUUUUAUUUGUACUGCCACUGUAAAGUGCUUUUGGGCUAAUUAGCUGGCUGGUCUACACCACUUGGUCUCUAGGUAGGUGAACAAGUGGUUCAAAUGAUCUACACUUAGUCGGGAAAAGCCUUUUUUUGCCUUCUAGGCUUUGGCUGGGCUUCGGGCCCCUUUCCUCCUUAUCCUUCUUUUGGGCCGACUCCCUUUUGAGCCCAAAGUUCAAGUUUUAACCCAAACAUCUCUCUUUUUCUUCUUCUUUUUUUGUAUGAAAACACGCGAGUCCAUGAACCUUUCUUCAGUUUUGAUUCAACUACUUUUAUUCACAUAAAAUGCAGGUAAAAGGUUGAAACAUGAGGUAUGACUUAGAUUCUGCAGUACUUUGAUAAUAUCUAACAACUUAAUCCAACAUUAUUAAAUGUUAAAUGGCUGAAAAGCAAUUAGUUCAAUGGGUUGCAUCUUCUUCCUCACAAAAUUUCGUGUAUUCUUUAGGUCCCAAGAAGGAUUCAAGUUCUGAUGGACUGCUGGGCUUGAUCUUGAUCAUCCAUCCAUCUUCAUAUGAGGUCAAAUUGAUCUAAAUAUACCAAAAAAUAGAUUAACAGUUUAGCAACAUAACAUGUCAAACUGUUUGAACAAAAGUACGAUACUUUGUCUAAACAUGCAUGCAAAGUAGAACAAGUAUUUGAACAAUAUUUGAAAGAAGGAUAACCAUUAUUUUAGGAUAAAUAAAAAAGGAAGAAGAAUUACCAAAGCAAGUGAUUCAGUAAGCUUUGAGUUAUAAGCUUGAUGACUUCGCCGGAGAUUGGGGAAUUUACAUCAUUGGUUGCUUUGACACUUUCCACAGCUCCAAAGCUGCCUCCUUGAGAGACUAAGCAACCAGCAUCUGUCAGCUCAACAAACAUUACUUCUCCAAGAUGGUCCUAAAACAAAGCUUCACCUGCAUCACUCACUCCAUGGGCUAAUACUUUAUCAUAUUAUAUUUUAUUAAAUAUCGAAAUAAUAUUAUGGAAAUGAGAAUAAUUACAAUGCUCAAACAACACAAUUUUUAAAAAUAAAAUGGUUUUUCAACCCAAUUGCAAGAGACGUUGAUAUUAAAGGUUGAGACCAGCGGAAAUGGAGAUAAGUAUAUUAAUAUAGGGAUUUAUCACAAAUGGUCCAUGAAAUUGACCCUCACUAUCAAGAUGGUCUCUCAAAUUGAAAAUCAAUCAAUGUAGUCCCUAAGACGUUGCAAAUCAAUGUGGUCCUUCAAUCACAAUUAUGUUAAAAAUUCCGUUAAGUGCUGAUGUGGCACAUAAAUGGGCCCCACAAAUUUUAUGGGUUUUUAUCAUAAAUGGUCCCUAAAAUUGACUCACACCAUCAAGACGGUCUCUGAAAUUGAAAAUCAAUCAAUAUAGUCCUUGAAAAUAGGUGUCACAAAUCCAUAUGGUCCUUCCGCCACAAUUUUGUAAAAAAAAAAUUUGUUAUGUAUUGAUGUGAGUUUAAUAAUUGAUUAAAAAAGUUGUCUAAAUAUCUUUUUGCACUAGGAUUUUUUUUUUCUUAUAGUAAGGCCUAAGGGAUCCCUUCCAUAAAUUCUCAAAGGCACAAGGCUUAACCAAGGCCUAAGAGGGGGUGUGGAAAUAGUUUUCAACCAACAAUAGACGCACUUCGGUUAUAACCUUAUUAUCUCAAGGCAAACCUUGCCGUUCUUUGCAUCACCAGACCACCAGGGAAGCGCCGAACAAGCUCUCCAAGAUUAAGGUUGUAAGGAUGUUGAUUGCCUAAAUGUUAACUGUGAUGUCCAAGAAGUCAUUGUCAAUCGGCCAAGCUGCCACCAAAGCUGAUCUCAAUUCAAGUUCAAUUCGGUGAAGGGUGUCGAAGUGUGUAAAGAUGGGUGUAUUGAGAUUCUUCUUUUUUUUUUUUUUUUUUUUUUUUUAGAGAAUAGAGAGCUAAGAAGGUAGAGAAAUGUGGACUGCGAUUGCAGGUGAUUGCAUGACUGGGUUGUUUGGUUGACAACUUUUUUAUGAACUAUUAAAUUAUUAAGCCUAUUUGUAAUUCUUUAAUUUAAUUAGACUUAUGUGACCCAUUUAUGUGUCACAUAAGCACAUAACAUACUUUUUGACAAAAUUGUGAGGAAAUGACUAUAUUAAUUUAAGACACUUACUUGUGGGGCUACUGUAGACAUUGAAAUUUCGGUGAAAUAAGUAUUGACAAUUGUAUUAAAAUUACAACCCCUCAUUCAUUUCACCUACAUCAUACACUCACUUCACAUACAUCAUAUACUCAUCCCACCUACAACAUCCACUUACUUCACCAAACAAAUGGAUGGUGGUGAUUCAUUCUCUAAGCCUAUAAAUAGGCUUCUUCAUCAAGCAAAGGGGGGGGGGAAUUGACAUACAUUUUCUCUACUUCCAAAUUAAAAGAGAAUUCAUACCACACCAAAGCCUUGAAGCCUCAAAACUCUAUAGCUUUCAAGCAAAUCCCGAAGAAUCAAGAAUGCCCUCUUCAUUCUUCGUCAAAAUCCUCCUUCAAGAUCAAGCCCCAACAGCCCUUGAAGAAACUUCCACUAAUUCAAGAUCAAGCCCCGAUGGCCCUUGAAGAAAGUGUUCACCAUUCAUCAUCUGUUCAUCCUAAAGAUCAAGCCCCAACGGCCCUUUGGAUCAACAACAUCAAAUCUACCCAUUACAAAGAUAGAAUCAGAGGCUAAAUUUGUAAAAGAGAUUGUAACCCCUAAAUCAUUAAUACAAAAUAUUAUUUUGUACACGUGUUCUUGUCUCGUUCAUCACAGAAAUUCCCGUAUUUACAAAUUUGGCACGCCCAGUGGGACUAUUCUCUACCUCUCAUCUCUAUCUUUGAAUCUGCAAAAAAAGAACAAAUGGCAUCAAACAAUGCUCAGGUUGUUCUCGCAGCCAAUACAAAGAACAAGAACGUCAUCACCGCAUGUAGUGUCACUUCGGGAUUCACAACUCGAAGCAGGGCAAAAGCUCUUUCUGUCGCCUCUUCCACCUCUGCAUCAACUCCGCCAAAGGAACAAGAGCACCCGAGGCAUGAACCUGUGAUCACCCUGGCCUCGCUAAGGGCGCCAAGUAAGGAAAGCCCAAGGAAGUACUCUGGUUCCAUGCUUUCCGAUGCCGACUCAAGUGGCAGCUCAGCCAUGCAAGUCAUGAUUACUGGAGCGACUUCAAUCGAUGAGCAGCUGGUUCAUAUGAAUGAAGCGAUCACAAGGCAAACACAGAUUAUGGAAGAAAAAGACCAACAAAUCACAACACUCAUCAACCAAUUAGAUGCGAAGCUUGACGUGAAAGUCGAGCAAAGGGAUGAUCCAGUAAAGAAGGAAAACGACGAGGAUAGGGAGCCUCAUGUAGAGAAAGUCGAAGAGAAACUAAAGCUAGACCAAUCGGCGGUACUCAUGGGAUCUCUCUCUAUCCAGCAGCUGCAAGAGAUGAUCGCCAGCACCAUCAAGGCGCAGUACGAAAGAAGUUCACAUGAAUCCGUACUAUACUCAAAGCCUUACUCCAAAAAGAUUGACGCUUUGAACAUGUCGAGGGGUUAUCAACUACCAAAGUUCAUGCAAUUCGAUGGAAAAGGAAACCCAAAGAAACAUGUCGCCCAUUUCAUUGAGACCUGCAACAACGUGGGGACAGAAGGAGAUUACCUCGCCAAAAAGUUUGUACGCUCGCUGAAAGGAAAUGCCUUUGAGUGGUACACGGACCUGGAGCCCGAGUCCAUCAACAGCUGGGAGCAAUUGGAAAGGGAAUUCCUCAACCACUUUUACAGCACCCGCCGCACUAUAAGCAUGCUAGAGCUGACAAACACGAAGCAAUAGAGGGAUGAGCCAGUCAUGGACUACAUCAACCGAUGGCUCAAUCUAAGCCUCGACUGCAAGGACAGUCUCUCGGAGAUCUCUUCAAUCGAGAUGUGUGUCUAAGGCAUGCAAUGGGGGUUACACUAUAUCCUUCAAGGCAUCAAACCACAGACCUUUAAAGAGUUAGCCACUCAUGCCCACAAUAUGGAGCUGAGCAUUGCUCACCAUGAAAAAAAAUAGCCAAUCACCAACUUCAAGAGGGACAAGGUGUUUGCCCCAAAUGUAGAUAAAACUGGGAAGAAGCCUGCCAAGGAAGCUUUUACUGUCAACACUACACCCAUCAAGGCCUCAUCUGCGCCUAUCAAGAUCUCCUCCAAAACCAAAGCAAGGAGAUAAAGAGAGGUGAGCCUCCUCGCACCCAAGACAGGUACAAAAGCACCUUGAGGGAAUUAGAGCAGAAGGCGUACCCUUUUCCUGACUUAGACAUGGAUGCAAUGUUAGACGACUUGCUGGAAAAGAAGGUGAUUGAGUUACCAGAAUGCAAGCGCCCUGAAGAAAUCAAUCGCAUGAACGAUCCUAGGUACUACAAGUACCAUCGUAUCGUGAGCCAUCCUAUUGGCAAGUGCUUCGUUCUCAAAGAACUCAUUAUGAAGCUAGCGCAACAAGGAAAAAUCGAGCUCGACCUCGAAGACAUGGCCGCAACACAUACUACUACAAUUGCAUUUGGAUCCUUCGAUCCCGUGCCUCUCCAAGCAACACCUGACCAUUCCUAUCAAUGUUCAAGUUGCACGAUACCUUCUACGUAACCAUCGCCGGGGCAAACGAACAAGAUGCACACACCGAUGAUGAAGAAGGAUGGACAUUGGUGGCCUACAAAAAAACAAGGAAACCAAAACCACAAGCCACAAGACCAAAGGUGGAACAAGGGAGAAAGCACCGUCGCCGCAACAGUAAGAAGCCCAAAAGGAACGUAAAAGCUGCUAAGCCAACGUAUGCUGGGGAAUCUAUAAAGCAAGAGCCACGCAUUCCUGUCUCCUUGCAUGAGUACUUCCCGGAGGACUUCUUCCAACAGUGCACUAUCGCUGCAUGUCACAUGGUCGAAGUAGCAAUGAAAAAGCCCUCAAAAGGCAAAGCUAUUGCGCUAAGGGAGAAAAAAAUUUCACGCUCGAAGAAGGUCUGCCAACACACUUUAGGGUCGAGGAAGUGCUACAAUUACCAAAGAAGAUGCGAAUAGCACUGGCAGUAGUCUUGGCAAGUCCUGACGAUCACAAAGUGCAAAAAAGCAAAAAUGAAGGCUUGAAGCUUCAGCCAUAUGAAUGUGCCACAUGCUGUGCCGUCGAGGACGCAAUCCACUUCACCGAUGAAAACUUGCUGCUAAGAUCCAAGCCUCACAACCGUCAUCUCUUCAUUUUUGGGUACGUAAGGGAGCACAAAGUCAACCGCAUGCUUAUGGAUGGUGGAUCAGCUAUAAACAUCAUGCCAAAGUCAACAAUGACUACAAUCGGCAUCAAGGGGGAUGAACUGUCCCUAAGCCGUCUACUAAUCCAAGGUUUUAAUCAAGGAGGACAAAGAGCGAUAGGCAUGAUCCGAGUGGAGAUGAUUAUUGGUGAACUCAAGUUAAGUACGAUAUUCCACGUGAUUGAUGCAAGAACUUCCUACUGCUUGCUCUUAGGAAUGCCUUAGAUCCAUACAAAUGGAGUAAUACCGUCCACCCUUCACCAAUGCUUAAAAUUCUACCGAGAAGGAGUGAAGGUGAUCUAUGGCGACACCAAACCAUUCACCGAAGCCGAAUCACAUUUCGCAGAUGCCAAGUUCUACAUGGAUGAAGACAUGGUGCCCAAAGCUCUUCCAAAAGAGAUUAAAACCAUGGGCAAAGCAACACCUAAAAAGCAGGAGUGGCAAGCCAUGCCCAAGAAGCAAGAAGAAGAAGUUAUGCCGUCUUCAAGCAAGAACGAUGCUGAGCUUGCUAAACCUACAACAACCAAAGGGAGCAGGACGCCUUCAAAUGGAUCAAACACACCCGUUUUCCUUUACAUCCCGAUGUCAAGAAGAAAGAAUGGUCAAUCCCCGUUCGAAACUGGAGCAAGCAAAGCCAAUGCACAGCGGCAUAGGGAUAAUGUAAAGUGGCUCAAGACGAAUGCAGUUUUGCCUCUGACAUAGCUAGGCGACGCUAAGGUUGCAAGACUACGACAAGGCUUCAUAAAAGCUCUACCAAAGGGCGUGGAACCAAGCUUUCUCCCAACCAAGAGGACCGAAGAAGGUUUUGAUCUAAACGCCUACAAAAUCAUGUCAAAAGCUGCGUACUACUUCGCUUGUUCUUCGAAUCCUGGAAAGAAGGUUUCGAACACCGUCCACAAUAAAGAACGUGACCUCACCGAGACUCAAAAGAAGUUAAAGAAACAUGGUUACGAAGUUGACAACAACGAAGCCGGACUUGGCUUCACACCAAAUGCACCUGUGAAGAUUUCAAGCAAAGCAAAAAAUGCUAGCACCCCACAUAUCAGCAUGAGCAUUGAACAAGAUCAAAAGAAGCCUAAAUCUGCCCCUCGGACGUCAGUCUUCGAUAAGAUGAAUCGUUCAAGACCCAGAACGUCAGCACUUAAUCGCAUUGGUGGUCAAAACCGAACCUCUGUCUUCAAGAGGCUUAACAUGCCAACAUCCUAAAGCUCUGUUUUUGAAAGGUUCUUAAAACCUAAAAAGCAAAGUAACACGGCUAGCUCUCCUCCUCGUCAGUCAGCUUUGGAAAGACUUAAAGACAACAAGAAGUUUUUUAGAAAUAGAGAGACAACGUCAAAGGAAGAAAAGCUCGACAGGCUAGUAGAAAAAAUGUGAUAUUCGAAGCUUGAUUCCUUCAAGGAUAAAGCACUAAGCAACUUCGGAGGUUGACACAAAUGGACCACUGAAAGUAAGAAGGCACACCAUCAUCUACACCGGCCAAUCUUCAUGCCAACAAACCCAAGAGGAUGGCACUAAAAAUGAGGCCCAAGAAGACAAAGAAGAUGAAAUCCCGGAAGAAGACGUCACUUCCGGCUCUGCCAACUCAAAAUCUUCACCUCAAUCACUGGGGGCAUGCUCCAAAACCAUGCCAGUCAAGCCAAGUGAAGUUGAAAGAUUGACUCAUGUCACUCCGAAGAAACUGCACAAGAAGCAUAUGUCUUCUCCACAAGUGCACCAAUCGGAAAAGGGGAAAAAAAGCUUUCGCUAACCUCCAAAGCAAUGUGAAAGUGUUGAAGAUGAGGAAAUUUCGAUAAAAAGAUCGACCAUGCGCGAUCUCUUCUUCCUCAGAAAAUUAUUCAGCUACUCGGUCAAGGCUCAUUGCUAUAAAGAUUGAGAGGAACGCCUCUUCAGGCAGCAACCAUCUCUUCCACAAGUUCACCAAUGGGAAAGGGGGCAAAGCAGCUCUUGUCAACCUCCAGAACAAUGUGAAAGUGUUGGAAAUAAUGAAACUUUGACACGAAGAUCAUCCAUCCCCAUCGCGAUGUCUGACCUCUUCCUAGAAGACUUCUUCAACCACUCAGUCAAGGCUCAUUGCUAUGAAGAUUGCGAGGAACGACUCUCCCGGAUCGCUUGACAAACCAACACCACAGCUCCUCACCUGUAUGAACUUAAACUGUACAUGGCACCAAUGCUCCUUGUUCGUACGAGCCUAAACUGCAUGAACCAACGCUCCUGGCCCGCAAUAGCAUAAACUGUGUACGGCAAAAUCAUCAUCAAAAUCACCACUAAAACAAUAAAAAUAAAUAAAAAAAACCAUCACUCAUUUGAACUACGUUAUGACUUGAUCUCUUCUUUGGAGAGUACGUAGGCAGCUCGAGCAUUCAACUUCAAGUUCAGUCACAUCAAAAUAAAUAAAAUAAAAAAUAAAUGUUUUAUUGAAGGUGAUUAAUGAAAGCCAAUUUUAUUACAAAGGCAACAAAUUUAUUUUGUACAAAAAAAAUUACAGUUUCUUCAAAAAAAUAAAUAUAUAUAUAAACUCAUUCUCGACCCAAAUAACAUAUAUAGUAGCAGGCCUAAACCUUCCCCCAUUUCACAACCGUCGGAUCCCAUGCCCGAUAGGCCCAUGAAGAGGCCCAAGUCUCUCUCUCGCAUCACUUUCUCCCUCUUUCUUGGACCUGCCGCAUCUCAACUCAACCCCAACAGAACCAUCUGUCUCACCCCGACUCCAAUUCAAAGCCCUGGAGUUCUGCCUCAGCAUCAUUCUCUGUCCAGUUGCCAUCCCCAAGUCUCACUCUCUUUGCUGAAAUGGCUUCGGGGAAUGUGAAACCGAGCGAAUCGAUGGUCUUGACGAUCGUCUUUCCUUUUCCACCGUUUCAUCGCCUACUCUCGUCUUUUCUCGGUUAGAGCUCUAUAAAGCCUUCAGAGGAAAUGGUUCGGGCUCAGGGUUCAAAGGUGCUGAGAUCAGAUAGAUUUGCAAAGUUUCAAAGGAAAUAGUAGAUAUACUCUCGUAUUCUCUCGUCUGCUCUAGUCUUCCCCCACGACGCAACUGCAACUCAGCAGUAACCUCUACCAUACGCUCCACAGACCUGUCGCUGCAACAGCCGUGCCCACCAGGCCAGCUUCCUUGUCGCCCAACUUGGCCAGCCACCAAACUCUCUUUCUUUCACGCAACCACCAAAAUGGAGACAACAAACAGUGACUGAGUAUGUCUCGGACUGGGCUGAUUUGACCAAAGAACGCCUGCUCAAUAUCUUGGGAUGGCUCACCCCGGAGUAACGAUGGAUAGGGCUGAUGCUGGUCUACAAGCCAUGGUUGCCGGUGUGCAAAAAGCUCUACCUCAACUCCAACAUCCCCAAGGCCGUCACUCUACGACGCUGUCUUUUCCACCAUCUUCAACAACCGUAGAUUAGCUUCUCGAUGCCCCAGCUCCGCCAAGACCCAUUUGUGCUCUCAUCUGUUACUCUCCGUCUUCGUCACCUUUCUCCCUUCCAUUGAAGAAGCAGCUACGCCAACAACAGUAGCUCAAAAAAAAAUGUAGCAGUCGUGGUUGCAGACUUCGACAAGGACGACAGUAGUAGCUAUCCAGCGUCUUCCCUAACGAGUAACUCUAGGCCCCUCACUACCACCGGAAGCUCCAAGAUAAAACCCAUCUCCGUCAUCUCUAGAGACGAUACCACGUUGAUGCUUUGAGUCAACUCGAGUAUUUGAGUGAAUCUCAGCCGUUGCUUCGAAGGUCGGCUAAUAAAUCUGUGCUGUUUCGUUAGGGCCACCAAGUUGAGUCACCCGUCUCACCGCAAACAUCAUCUCUGCCAUUGAGACAGCCACAGUUUUCCCACACCUCCGCUGUGACUCCUCCACCUCAACAGCUCUUCCACCAGGCGUUAUCUCCUCUUUCAAUCACCGCCAGAUCUUUAAUUGUCUCCUGGUUGAGGUUCUCAGCUCCGAAAGUGCUCGAAGGUUGAUGUCUUGGGCUUGGGUUCGAAGGUUGGUGUGUUUCUGUAACUCUACUGCUGCCUUUGAAUGUGAUUAACCGACAAUUUGCAUCUCUCUCUCUGCCUUACUGCUGCGCCGUGGGACUUGGAUUGUAUCCCUCUCUUCCUCCCGCUGCUCCAGCUUCUAUGAACCCUUGCUCUAGCUUCUGUGCAUCUUGCUAUCUUUAGAGGUAAGAAGAACUUCAGUGACCACUGUCAAACGACUAGCCCGUCGUGAAGCUCGACACUUUGCACUACCUCGAACUCAUCAUUCUACGACGCCGUCCUCUCCACCAAACCCGACCUACUGCACAUGGUAAGCACACUCGGAGCAAGUUAGGCUACGCUCUCGGCCCCGACUUCCUCUUUUACGACGCUCCUAACAACGAUGUCCGUUUUGAGUACCGGCUCCCUGGCGAAGAACUUCAUGAACCGCCGUCAAACGACUAGCCGGUUGUGAUGCUCGACGCCUUACAUUUUGCCUCAAGCUCCAGCUGCUUCUGCACCUCCGCCAUGGCUACUGCACCUCCGUCAUGGCUACUGUUCCUUGUGAAUAUGAUUAACAAAACCUAAGCUUGUCAACUUACAUUUGCUUGCCUUUGUUGCUACAUGUGAAUGUGAUUAACAAAACCAAAGUUUGUCAACUCACACCCAAAGAGCUCCUCCGUCUUCUUGCCUCUGCUGCUGCAUUUGAAUCGGAGAAGAACUUCAACGACCGUUGUCAAACGACUAGCCGAUCGUGAAGCUCGACACUUUGCACCGCCUCAGUACCUCUAGCUUCUCCUUUCCCACUACAAAUGGCCGCCCUUCAUCCGAUGCAGCACACAUAUAUAUAAAUCAUAAAAAAUAAAAAUUAAAUUAAAUUAAAAAAAAAUUAAAAAAAAUUGGUGUAGUGACUGUGCAAAUGAUGGUCUCUAGAGAAGCAAAUGAAAAUGGUCCGCAUGCGGAGAGUGCAGUACAGCAAGGAAGCCUACUAAGGAAUCCAACCAUGUCAUCUUCAAGCCACUAUUCACAAGUGCAUGCUACUAUUAGCAAGUCAAGAAUGAAAAAGGAAAAAGGUGGUGGCGACAGAAUGAUGCUUCCAAUCACUAUCUAAAAGGAAAUGGGUGCACUAGUCACCAUCUAAAAGGAAAUGGGUGCAUCAGGCACCAUCUAAAAAAAAAAAAAAGGGAAGUAACACAUCUUAGUGAGUUAUAUGUUUUAUUUGUACUUAGCAUAAUGCACUGAAUAAAAUAAAGCAUGUCCAUUGAUAUCUCUAAGAAAUUACAAGUGCAUAAAAAAUAAAAAAAAGCAAAAGAAAAAAAGAGGGAGCCUUCACAAAUGUCACUUAUGUGAAGCCUCAGUACUUGAAGCCUUAGUACUCAGCGGAACCCUAGAAAAGGGAGGCAUUGAAGAUGGAUUACUCGAAGCCUCAAUACUUGGUCGAAAUCCAGAUGACGAAGGCAAAAUGUGCCUCUGGAAUACAUCCACAAACUUCCAAUGGUCACUUUGAAUCCGACCUUCAGAGUUCAGCUGAUCAAGCUUCCUCUUCAUGCCCAACGAAUAACUAUUUGCAAGCACAUGCAACUCUCUAUUCUCACGCUUGAGCUGUCUGAUCUCUUGAUUAAGAGCUGCCACCUCGGCUGUCAAUAAUUCAACUUGGCGAGUUCGAACAAGUAAGCGUUGGCCCAUGUUGGAAACAGAGUUCGCACACUGGACAAUGAGAGCUUGGGAAUCUUGAACAGCUAACUCAUCGGACCGUCGUGAAAGUAUCCUAUUAUCUCUAGGAGUGAUGAGGUUCCUAGCUACAACCGUAGUCGUUGUUGCAUCCCUCAUCAUAGAGUCUUCAACUGUAAGAAUUCCAUUAGAAGAUAAGAAGGACGGGCGUCAUAUAUUACCCUGACGCGGUGCACCUGUGUCACUGCUGAGACUCAAAUCUAAGCAAAUGUUAGACGGGUUAGCCAUUUCCAAAAAGAUGGCAAAAGAAAAGGGUUGGAGUGAGUAAAAUCUCAUAAAUACAACAAAGACAAUUUUCAAAGGCGGGCAAUCUUCAAAGUGUGCAUGUUGAAUACAAUUGACACCUCUUUAAAAAGAAGAGGCAACAUAACCACUUGUUCAAAAAAAAAAAUCGAAGAGACACCACUCUUCAAAUUUCAAAACCCGGAUUUUCUUGCGUAAAGUCAGUCAACACUUUUCAAAUGCAACCUCAGCUUUCGGCUAUCACGUGCAACUUUGUCAGAGAUCACUGACAAAGCUGAAAAAGUGUGAAGUCCAUUAUUCCAACUACCACACUUUUGGCCGACAAGCGUGGGUGACAAGGCCACAUCCACACUGCCACUUGCUAUCGGGAAAUCACCAUAUAAUACAACUUUCAUCCUCUAUACCAAGGCACACAUCCAAAACGCAUGACUCUUCUUCCUUGCCGAAUGCCUCUGCAACCAAACCCUUUAGCAUACUCAGUUUUCUUCCUCCCUGAAAAUACAAACGCUUGACUCUUCUUCCUUGCCAAGAAUACAUCUGCAACUAAAACCUCUCAACAUACUCAGUUUUCUUCCUCCCUGGAAAUACCUCUUCAACCAAGCCACACCAGAACAAAGGUAUUUCAUAUCAUUGGGGUUGAGAGCAAGAGUAUCUCAUAGCAUGCUUUCUUCCUGUCAUUUUCUUUGUCCUUCCUCUUUACUGCAGGAUAAGGAGAAAAAGAGCAAUCAGCCGGCACUUGGAGUCAACCUUCCGAUUUGGAACCGACUGCCUGGAAACCCCUUCCCUGAUUGUUUACCUAGCAUCGCCUUCAACUUAUUUUCAACCGUUGAUGUAUUUCCAGAGAAGACACCACAUCUGCCUGGAAAACAAAUGAUGCAAGUGAAGAUGUUACAUCAAAGCAUGUGGAGACAAGCGCAACAAAAUACGUGUUGGUUCAUCCGCUACUUCUUCGAAAGUAAACGUAUCUCAUAUCAUCAGGGUAGAAAGCAAGAGUAUCUCAUAUCAUGCAAUCUCCAUGUCAUUUCCUUCGUCCUUGUUCUUGCCUGCAAAGACAAGGAUAAAGAAAGCAAUAUGUCAGAACCUCCAAUCAAGCUCCUGGUAAGAAACCGACUGCUUAGAACCUUCCUGAGUGUUUCAACAUCUUAUGCUUCCAGAGAAGAUACCACAUCUGCCUGGAGAACAGAAGAGGCAAGUGAAAAUGAUGCAUUGAAGCAUAUGGAGACAAGCGCAACAAAUACAUGUGCUGAUCAUCCACUACUUCUUCAAAAGUAAAAGUAUCUCAUAUCAUCAGGGUCAAAAGCAAAGGUAUCUCAUAUCAUGUUUUUCCCCUAUCCUUUCUUUGCCCUUGCUUUUGCCUGCAGAACAAUGAGAAAUGAAGCAAUCAGUCGGAACCUGAAAUUAAACGUCCGAUCAGGAACUGAUUGCCCAUAACCUUUGCCUGGUUGCUUACCUAGCAUUGCUCUCGAGUGCUCACCUUCAACUGUUUACGGGUCUCGAAUUUCCUCAGCAAAUACUUUAAGACAGUUGAUAUGGUGCUGGCUCUUUACACUGAAGCUGCCAAGCAUAGAUGAGUAGCUGAAAAGUGAUGCUCUGAAUGACCAUUUAAAGGCAAAGGGUUGCGCACCACUUCGGCUAGGCGAAAGAAACAAGCAAAGAAGAAUACAGCACGAUGGGCUGGAACAAAUCAUUAUGGCAGGACACCCUUCUCGGCAAAACUGCAUAAUCCAGACGGAUGAGUCUAAGUCAAAUCCAAGCCUGCCGUCGUUAUUAUAAUCCAAGAGCUCGAAAAGCUUCAACAGCCUUUCGUUGGUACUGUCGCCGAAGAGCAAAGUCUCGACAAUCCUUGAAGAUCAUACCGUUAACCAAAUUGCUCAGAGUUCAUAUGAAAAUGCUGUGAACUUCCUUGAUCUUUCAAAGAAAAUUCUUUGCAGCAUCUGACCUUAUCCCCUGACCUUCUUCAAUAUGAAUAUAAAAAAAUUGAACAAAGAAACAGGUCAUCACCUCCGCCUUAUGCCUGCCUGCCAGGUGUUCAGACCCUGAAAACUACUCAAGAUCAAGCCCCAAUGGCUCUUGAAGAAAUCACAAGUCCGAUUCAAGAUCAAGUACCCACCACCCUUGAAUCAAAUCCAGUUCAAGAUUAAGUCUGUGGAAAGUCCUUUGGAGGAAACCAGAAAACCCUCUAACCUAGUUCAAGAUCAAAGCUGUGGAAAGUCAACAAGCACAACAAAAUACAUGCCGAUUCAUCCAUUACCAAAGCCAAAGAUCAUCUACCACAUGAAGCUCCUUGUGGUCCAAGUUUCAUCUAAGAUCAAGCCUCGACGGCCCUUGAAGAAAUUUCAAACAAAAUUCAAGAACAAACCUCAACGGCACUUGAAAAAACUCCUAGUCCAAUUCAAGAUUAAGCCUCAACGGCCCUUGGAUCGACAUCUACAUUAAGGGACUUCAAAACACAUCUUCUACACAUGACAAACACAUGUAUACAACGCGCCUUGAAGGGACCAUUUGUAGACAUUGAAAUUUCGGUGAAAUAAGUAUUGACAAUUGUAUUAAAAUUACAACCCCCCAUUCAUUUCACCUACAUCAUACACUCAUUUCACAUACAUCAUAUACUCAUCCCACCUACAACAUCCACAUACUUCACCAAACAAAUUGAUGGUGGUGAUUCAUUCUCAAAGCCUAUAAAUAGGCUUCUUCAUCAAGCAAAGGGGGGGAAUUGACAUACAUUUUCUCUACUUCCAAAUUAGAAGAGAAUUCAUACCACACCAAAGCCUUGAAGCUUCGAAACUAUAAAGCUCUCAAGUAAAUCCCGAAGAAUCAAGAAAGUCCUCUUCGUUCUUCGUCAAAAUUCUCCUUCAAGAUCAAGCACUAACGGCCCUUGAAGAAACUUCCACUAAUUCAAGAUCAAGCCCCGACGACCCUUGAAGAAAGUGUUCACCAUUCAUCAUCCGUUCAUCCUAAAGAUCAAGCCCCGACGGCCCUUUGGAUCAACAACAUCAAAUCUACCCAUUACAAAGAUAGAAUCAGAGGCUAAAUUUGUAGAAGAGAUUGUAACCCCUAAAUCAUUAAUACAAAAUAUUAUUUUGUACACGUGUUCUUGUCUUGUUCAUCGUAGGAAUUCUCGUGUUUACAGCUACAUUGACCAAUUUUCAAUUUCAGGUACUAUUUUGAUGUUGCGGGUCAAUUUUAGGGACCAUUUUGGUGUCGGGGGUCAAUUUCAAGGACCAUUUGUAAGAAAAAAAUGACUUAUGGUGCCCAUUUACGUGCCACAUUAGCACUUAACAUAAUUUUUAACAAAAUUGUGACAUAAUGACCAUAUUGAUUUGCGACACCUAUUUUCAGAUACUACGUUGAUUGAUUUUCAAUUUCAGUGACCAUCUUGAUGGGGAGUGGUCAAUUUCAAGGAUCAUGUGUGAUAAAAACCCAUUAAUUUAUUAACCUAAGCAUGAUCAAUGAUGCCAAUUGUUGCCCCAGUGUCACAACCCGUCCCGAAAAUAUACAUUAUUUUGUUAUCGUUGAUGUGAAAAGACUAAAAUGCCCUUGAGCGUUUGUGGCAUUGUGAGUCGUAUGUGACAGUUUUAGAAAUGGAUCAAUGUGGUUAAUUUCCUACGUUUUUGGGGCCAAUGAGAACUUAACCUUGGUUAGUUAUGAUUGGUGUGUAGGUUGGACCACACACACACAUCCACAUCACCUCUAUUCUCUUUCUCACUCCCGUGCACACCCUUUCUCUCUCUCGGACUCACUCUCUCUUCCUUCUCCUUCGUACAGACAAUGUCAAACCAAGCCAAAUCUUCACUGAUCGAGGAAGAAAAUGGUACCAUUGCGUUCAUGAGGACCAUACGAGUUCAAAAGUACCCAUUUCAGGUAAGAACUCGUUUGAUAUCACGUUGAAAACUCAAGCUCCGAGUUAAGCACUAUUCACAAACUUUUAAAUGGUUGUGUUUUAGGACAAUCCAAGCUUAUAGCGAGCUUAGUGAGGUCCCAAGGAAGCUCAGAGUGCUUCGUUUGAAGGUUUUGGACUUCGGGAUCACGAGGUUCGAAGGUGGCCGGUUUUGGUGAGAUUUUUCUGACGUGUUUUCGAAUGAUUUAAGGCUCCAAAGAGGUAUAACCUUCUUCCUCUUGAAAUUUGUGACAUUUGGGUGAAAAUUUCAUAGAAAAUGGUGCAAAAAUGAGAGAGAAUGGACAGUUGCAGGUCUGCCCAGAAUCCGGCGCCGGUGGCACUAUUCCGGCGUCUGGAGGUUGAAGAUGAUGCGCAUGGGGGGCGCGUGAGGUCGUGCCCUCCCCGGCGCAUAGGGGCGCGUGAGCCACCUAAAAAUUUAUCUAAAAAUAUCACGAUGUUCGUGAGGUUAUGUAGAUCAUUGUGGUAUAUUCAUAUACCUAUUUUGAGCAAUGUAUGAAAAGUUAUUAGCUAGUUUUAUCUAUGUGCUUCAAAAUAACGUUUUUAUAGUUAAUUCACAUAUAGGUGAGACUUAUCCCGAGGACGAGUUAAUCCAUGGGUGACUCGGGGGUUACGACCUGUCGACAUAUUAGUGAGUGGGCUUUUGUUUUCAGUAUAUAGUUAUAUACUUGUUAUAUUUCCCACAAAUGUGUUUUAAAUGAAAAUAUGCUUUGAAAUAAUAUGCCAAAUGCCUUUAUAUUUUGGUUAUGCAUUUUAUAGUUGCAUAUAUAUAUACACAUAAAUGUGGUGCUGUGGAGGCAUAGGUAAGUUCAGGUAAGUUAUGUUUGAUUAUGUGAACUACGAAUGACUUGAUCCCUAUUCAAGGUACAUAGGCAAUCUAACGAUACGUUAGAUGCAGUCAUACAAUAGUUGAGACAAAGGCCUUAGUUGUGAAUAAAAUGAUUAUAAAUGCAUUGAGAAACAAUGAGCUCAUAAACCUGCACCUCGGGUGAUUGCGAUUUAGCCAGAGAGAGUUGGCACAGGCCUGUAUAUUAUGUCACCUCCCGCACCAUAUGCUCACAUUGGAUCCAAUUAGGUGCACAGUCUUGUUGUACAGACCACUAUAGGUGGUUCCGACUCGUAGGUGACUAACGUAUUAUCGCACAGCUAGCAUUGAGAGAGUAAAAUUGAGCAUAACUAUAUUACACCCAAUCUUGUCGUACAGACCCCUUUUUAGUGGUUCCGACUUAUGUGCAGAAUAUUGCCGUAUAGGUCAUAGUAGUGACUCUGGCUAGAUUGAGUUUGAGCUAUAAAUUCAGCCGUACAGACUACCACAUGAGUUUCGGCUAACAUAUCGUAUUUCCAUGAAAUCAUUCUUACCUGAACUGUUUACCUUGUUAUAUUUUGGCAUGGCAUACAUAUGAAUGUGAUUAUGUGAAGCAUGAAUUGACUCGAUAUGAUUUCAGAUAUAUUUUAUAUAUGCUUAUAUCUUGGUUCUGGGAAAAUCUUAUAUGUUUUACAGCGAGGGGUUAGUAUGUUGAUAAAUGAAAUGAUUUUGUAAAACAUUUGUUUUUGCCCACUCACGUUUUCUGUUUUGCGCCCCUCCAAGUUUUAAGUAAGCUGAUGUUGGUGGCUAGAGGACGUCGGCAGUUCUAAUUUACCUUAUAAUAGUAGGACAUUCCUGGUACUGUAUAACUAGUACUUGUCCUACUAGACUGCACCUAGACUUAUUAUGCUCUGAUUAGGAGAGUGUACGGUUGUAGCUAACUCCUAUCACUCCCUACUAGUAGUGCACUUAAAUAAUCUGGUUUUUAAUUAUUCGUAUGUUUGCUAUCUUUAUCACUUCUGAACUGUGCAUAUGGCUACGUCACUCUCACGUGACGGCCAGCAUGCCUUGGCCUCGGUCGAGGUGUGUCACCCAGAGCCUUCAUGCUUCACCCGCUCAUGUGAAGAUGCAUACUUCAAUCUAUCCAAAACUGCAAUAUCUGAACAUAACCCCCAACACUACAAUUCUUUUCAACUUAAUUACCCAAAAACAACAAAAUUUAAAAUACCCAAUAUACAUAGCACACUGCUAAAUUCACUCUUUUCUUUGACAAAUGAUGAAUCUAAACUACGAGGUAGGGUAUAAAAAAAAACUUGGGUGCAAAUUGUAGAUGAUGGAGCACACUGUUCUAGCCAAAUUCGCUAAAAUUAAGUCAGCAUAGUAUUCGAAAAUAUUAGUAUUUAAGUUUACUUUAAUGUUUGGUUUUCUGGGCUUAGCCCAUUAGCUUUAGGGUUUUGAUUUCUUACCUUUUAGGAUUAGAGUUAGUUUAUUAUAAAUAACAUGUUUGUUAUUCAGUCGAGAACAAGUUAAUCAUGAUUUAGCCUCUUAGGGUUUUGUAAUCGUUCCAGCAUUCUUAUCUAUUAAUAAUAUUCUUAUUAUUUUGUAGGCUUAUUUGUUCUGCACUCUGAUAUUCAACUCAUGGCACUUAUGAAUUCUAGUUGAACAAAAUCAUUCAUACAUUGGUCUAACAAGCAAGUUUUCUUUUAUCUUUUUUCUUACUGGACAACCCAUGCUCUUUCAUUGUUGCACAUGGUCCACUCUUUUGAUGUCAUUUUAUUUAUAGACGAAAAAAACACUAUUCCUAAGCAUGGAAUUUGUUCAAAUAUUGAGUGUUUUCCACCCAAAAAAUCCUGAUCCAGUCAAAAGUAAAUGUGAGAACUUAAGUCAGUGAUGCAUUGGCUAAUUCUCAUGUGUUUUAUCAUCAUAUCUUAACUCAAGUAAAAGGUAGACACUAAAAUGGAUACAUUCAUUGAUAUUGCAGAUGAUUUAAAGUUAUAAGGUCUCAGGUGUUGGUAUUUCAAAGUUUACUAACUCAAUACCAAAAAUAUGUGGGUGAUAAGUUUUCUAACUUUAUCACACCUCUCACUAUCACUCUCAAUAAAAUUGGACAAACGAAAGGAAAGAAGUAGCAAGCUUGUUGAUAACAAAACACUUUAAAAUAUUAGAAGAGUUUAUAACUCUUAAAGGUUACAAGCUAAAAAUGAGAAAGGGAAUUUGAAUGGAAUGGGAAUUCGGAUGGUUUUUUCUAAAGCCUUACAAGAGGCUUAAUUAUACAUGCAAAAGUUACAAACCACUCAAGUGCUUUUUAAUAAAAAAAAAUACACACGCAUGCAAUCAAUGAUGGUGUUUACCAUCUUUUUAUAAACAAACAUCACAACCUUUUGGCUAGUAGCUCACACUUUCUGAAGAGUGUUCCAACAAUUUCUAAAAAGUGUUCCACCAUUUUCUGAAAAGUGUUCCAACAAUUUCUGAAAAGUGUUCCAACAAUUUCUAAAAAGUGUUCCACCACUUUCGGCCACUGUAUUAGAUUGAACUUCCAACACGCCUCCUCAAAUCAAAAUACGCCUAGCAUUUCACGCAGCAAUCGAAAUGAUUCAACUGGCAGUGGCUUUAUGAAGAUGUCAGCUACUUGUUCCUUCGUGUGACAAUAGACAAGUUCAAUUGUCUUUUGCUUCACGUGGUCCCUCAGAAAAUGGAACCUGGAUCAAUAUGCUUGCUCCUUCCAUGUUGGAUUGGAUUCCUAGCAAGCUUGAUAGCUAAGAUGUUAUCCACAUGAAUCACAUUCAAUUCCACUUGUGGAUGACACACUGACUUCAACAAAUUUCUUAACCAAAUUGCCUCGAACACAGUUGAGGCUACAACAACGUAUUCGGCUUCACACGAUGACAAAGCAAUAAUUGAUUGCUUCUUUGAAGUCCAUGAGAAAGUUGUUGAUCCUAGAAAAAACACAUAGCCAAUUGUGUUUUUCAUUUCAUCUUGGUCACCUCCCCAAUUACUAUCUAAAUAACCAAAUAAUUUUGCAUCUUCACCAAAAUUAUAAAACAGACCAUAGUUUAGAGUACCUCUUAUGUACCUCAAAAUUCUCUUGACGGCCAGCCAAUGAGACUCCCUUGGUAUUUCCGUGUACUAAUUCCCGAGUCCAACGCCAAACUAUAUUAGGUCUUGUGAUUGUAAGGUACCUUAGGCUUCUAACCAAGCUUUUAUACACGGUUAAGUUUACAAACUCACCUUCUCCUUCCUUAGACAGCUUCAAUCUAGUUGCAACUGGACUGUUAACAAUAUUGCACUUGUCCAUAUUGAAUUUCUCCAAUAUAUCUCUCAUGUACUUUUGUUGAGAGAUGUAGAUACCAUCACUUUCUUGCUUCACCUCUAUGCCAAGAAAGUAUGACAUUAAUUCAUUGUCAGUCAUCUCAAAUUCACUGAACAUAGAUUGCUUGAACUCACGGAACAUUGCUUCAUUGUUUCCUGUAAACAACAAGUCAUCUACAUAGAGACAAAUAAUUAAGAACUCCCAUUUUGUACCAUUCUUCAUGUAAACUGAAUGCUCGUAUGGACAUUUCUAAAAUCCAUUUUGGUGAAGGUAGUUAUCAAUCCUUGAGUUCCAAGCUUGUGGUACUUGCUUGAGGCCAUAUAAAGCCUUCUUCAAACAAUACACCUUAUAUUCUUCUCCUUGUACUUGGAAGCCUUCCGGUUGUUCCACGUAUACUUCUUCCUCAAGUACUCCAUUAAGGAAGGCUGACUUGACAUCUAGUUGAUAAAUUUUACAUUUAUGAUGAACGGCAAGAGAGAUUAGCAAUCUUACCGUGUCAAGUCUUGCAACUGGAGCAUUGACUUCAUCAUAGUCCACUCCAUACUUCUGUUUGUAGCCCUUUGCUACAAGCCUUGAUUUGUAUCGAUCCACACUCCCAUCUGCAGUGCGUUUGAUCUUGUACACCACUUGACACCAAUAGCCUUCUAAUUUGGUAGGAGCUUUGUCAACUCUCAAAUGUCAUUCUUCUCGAUGGCAUCCAUUUCUUCCUCCAUGGCUAUUCUCCAACGAUCUUCUUCCACAGCUUCAUUGAAUGAGAGGGGCUCAUGGUCUGCAUACAAGCAGAAAAGGUUGGUUUCUUCUUCUUCUUCUUCUUGUCCAUAUAUCUCGGUGAGACUUCUUAGCCUCACUGGAGUUGAGGAGCUACUUUCUUCACUAGAUGUAGGGCCACUUCUUGCAUGUCUGUACAAUGGAGUGCAGUGAUUGUUUGAGCAGGCUAUUGCUCGACAGGUGGUACAACUUCUGCUUCUUCAAAAUCAGUGGAGACGAUAUUCUCUUUACUGACUUCUUUGUUGUUCUACUUCCAUGCCUCUUCCUCACUGAAGAUGACAUCUCUACUAACCACUAGUUUACCAGUUAGGGGGUUGUAGAGUUUGUAUGCCUUGGACUCUUCACUAUAGCCCACAAACACACAUUUUUCACCUCGAUCAUCAAACUUCCUCCUCUUGGCCUCUAGAACUUGAGCAUAUGUAACACACCCAAAAACUCUUAGGCGUGCAACAUUCAGCUUGUAUCCACUCCAAGCCUCUUAUGGUGUCAUCCUCUUGACACUCUUUGUUGGACAUCGAUUAAACAAAUAAAUUGAACAAGCUACAGCUUCUGCCCACAAUUCUUUUGGCAAAUUCUUCUUUUUAAGCAUAGACCUUGUCAUGUCAAAGAUGGUUCGAUUCUUUCUUUAGGCUAUCCCAUUUUGUUAUGGGGUUUAGGCAGCAGUCAUUUGAUGUCUAAUUCCUUGCUCCUUGCAAUAUGCUUGGAAAGCAUUAGAGGUGUACUCUCCACCUCUAUUUGAUCUCGCAGCCACAAGCUUGUGGUUGCUUUCAGCUUCUGUGAGUGCCUUAAACUUCUUGAAGACUCUUAGGGCAGCCAACUUCUCAUUGAGAAAAUAAACCCAAGUCUUCCUACUAAAAUCAUCAAUGAAGGUAAUAAAAUACCUAUUACAUCCAUAGGACAUAGGAUCCAACGGACCACAUAUAUCCAUGUACACUAACUGCAGUGGUGCCUUUGCUCUCCAUGUAUCACCAAUAGGGAACGAUAGUCGUGCUUGUUUGCCAAGCACACAACCUUCACAUACUUGGUGUGUGGCUUCAAUCUGGGGUAGACCACGAACCAUUUCUCCAUUUGACAAUAACUUUAGGCCAUUGAAAUGAAGAUGGCCAAACCGAAGAUGCCAUUUCCAUGACUCAUCUUCCAUCACACCAAUGUUGCAGCUUCCAAUCUUUGUGUUCAACUUCAACGGGAACAUUUGGUUCUUUGACAUUUGAACAUGUGCAAUAAGCUUUCUCCUUGUAUUCCUGAGAGUGAGAAGCAUAUUCUCCAUAUGUAUAACAUACCCUUUCUGGAGCAGUUAACCAAUGCUCAGAAUGUUUCUCUUCAUACCUGGUAUGUAGUAGGUAUCGGAGAUGUAUUUUUCUCUAUCAUCCUUCUGGAUGAUUUUGAUCUUUCCAUUGCCAUCAACUGGCAACUUUAAAGAGUCACCAAGACUCACAGAUCCAUAAGGUCCAUCUUUGAGUUCAGCAAAAAACUCUUUCUUUCCACACAUGUGGUUGCUUACACCAGAGUCCAAAUACCAAACAUCUUAUUGGCUACUGAUAUCAUGGUGUGCUAGUAAGACUGUAAAUUCCUCACCAGUAUUUCCACUUGAUUCUGCCAUGUUGACAUGCUCACCAUUUUUAUAUGAACAUUCAUUGGCAUAAUGUCCAUAUUGCUUGCAACUGUGACACUGGAUAUGCACAUUUCCUCGAGUAGAUCUCCACUCUUGAGAUUGACCUCAAUUUUGUGCAUAGCCUCGACCUCUUCCUCAGGUUCGUCCUCGGCUACGGUUGGAUAAAGUCCCACGACGUGAGUUCCAUUGCCCACGACCUCCAUUUGGUUUGUCAAUAUUCAACUUUGACUCCAAAGCUUGCUCUAGCAUUAUGGGGCUUGCAUUCUUCUGAAUGCAUUACUCGUGAACCAUGAAGGAUCCUAGCAGUUCCUUUGCGCUCAUUUUCUCCAAUCCUUGGAUUCCUCAAUGGCAGUCACCACAUGCUUAAAUUUGCAUGUAAGAGAUCGAAGGAUUUUCUCCAUAACACGAACAUCUUCAAGCUUCUCGCCAUUCCUUUUCAUUUGAUUCACAAUUACAAGUAGUCGAGAGUAGUAGUCUGAAAUAUUUUCUCCUUCAUUCAUAUGAGCAACUUCAAAAUCUAUUCUUAAUGAUUGAAGCCAGACUCUUUUUACUCGAUCUACUCCUUGGUAAAUUAUUAUCAGAGUGUCCCAAACUUGCUUGCUGGUUGUUGCUUCUGCAACCUUCUCGAACGUUGAAUCUUCUAAUCCUUGAUAUAUAAGAUACAACACCUUCUUAUCCUUCUUUUGUAAGUCAUUGAGAGUGUUCCUUUGAUCUGCAGUGUAAGCGACUUCUUGCUUAGUAGUGGGUUCAACAUACCCAUUACUAACAACUUCUCAUAGCUCCUGUGAUCCAAACAAUGCUUUGAACUGGAUGCACCAUCUUUCAUAAUUUUCUUUCUUCAAUGUGGGAACCUGGAGUUGGACUAAAUUGGACGCCAUAGCUGCUGCACUUGCCAGAAAGGUAUUUUGGCUCUGAUACCAAUUGUUGGUAUUUGAAGUUUACUAACUCAAUACCAAAAAUAUGUGGGUGAUAAAUUUUCUAACUUUAUCACACCUUUCACUAUCACUCUCAAUAAAAUUGGACAAACGAAAGGAAAGAAGUAGCAAGCUUGUUGAUAACAAAACACCUUAAAAUAUUAGAAGAGUUUAUAACUCUUAAAGGUUACAAGCUGAAAAUGAGAAUGGGAAUUGGAAUGGAAUGGGAAUUCGGAUGGUUUUUUCUAAAGCCUUACAAGAGGCUUAAUUAUACAUGCAAAAGUUACAAACCACUCAAGUACUUUUUAAUAAAAAAAAAUACACACACACGUGCAAUCAAUGAUGGUGUUUACCAUCUUUUAAUAAACAAACAUCACAACCUUUCGGCUAGUAGUUCACACUUUCUGAAAAGUGUUCCAACAAUUUCUGAAAAGUGUUCCACCACUUUCGACCACUGUAUUUGAUUUGAACUUCCAACAUCAGGUGCAUUGGUUACAUUGAGCGAAGAGGUAAAUUCACUCGACAAUUCUUGCUUCUUCUUUUUGGUUAUUCCUUGACCUAAAUGUCCUUGGUUGCUUGAUCUUUCAUGAAUGAAAACUUGCUUGCAGAUGAUAUAAUUUUUUAAACAGUUAAUGGAGAUGGUGCUGGCUUUUUCAGUCUUUUGGACGAGGCUGAUCUGAUUCUUUCAGAUAUAUUGUCCAAAUGCUUGUGGACAAGGAUGGUAUUUCUAAUUAGUUGAAGCUCUGAAAUUUAGUGUUUGUUUUCUACCAUUUUGGAUAUUGUUCGAUUAUUUUAAGCUGCAGAUGGAGUGUAAUGUGUUAGGCAUAGUAGGUAGCAUUUAGAAGUGAAUUAAUUCCUCUUGAGACUGCACGGCAUAUUGCAUGAGAAAAAUAUAAUUGCACUUAUUCGUAUUGAUCUGAAUAAUCUAUGAUGUGUUUUUUGUAUUGAAUUGAAAAUUAUAUAAUAUCUUUUAUACCUUAAUAUAUAUACAUGUCAAACAAACAAUAAAAAGAACUUAAUUGAAAUCCAAGUGUUCAGAGUUCAAAUUUCGAAAAAAAAUAAAUAAAAAACUAUCCUGGUUAGGCCAAUAAAAUGAAGUAUCUAGGCUCCGUUUAGAAGAGAAAAAAAACCGGUAAUAAAUCUAUUUAUGAUUACUAUUUCUUUUAUAUAUUUAUAAUAGAAGUGAUCUCACAAACUGUUAAUCAAUAGAGUAAUAUGAUGAAUACAUUGAAUAUAUGUUGUAAGACAUGAAAUAAGUUGUAAAAAGGAAGUCGUAGCAAAAAGACGUGGUAUUGGGGCAUUUGUCAUAUAUGUGCAAAUCGAAAUCGAGCGGAUCUUUACUCGGAGUAGAGCAUGAACCUAAAAAAAUUGAAGAAGCCCAUUCAGGAACAAGAAAAUUACAUCGAGAUACAAAAAAAAAAAAAAAAAAAAAGCUAAUAAGCAAUAGUAUAAUUUUAAAAGGUUUAAAAAUUCGCAGCAGCAUGCCAACAUUUCUGCUAGUUUAAUCUAAAAUGAGAGUCCGUUGUCGAUUUUUGAAAUGAUUUAUGCUCUCUUAGACCUACUGAUAUGAUAAGGUCAUCUCCAACCGACCCGGUCAAAGGGCAAUAGGGCUAAAAAUAGCUCAAAAUGACACGAAAACCGUCUCUAACCGAAAGCUAGGCCAAAUGGCUCGUAGGCCCUACCGAGCCAAAAAUGGAAAAUCAUGCCAACCAGCUAGCCCCAAGGAGCUAGCCAGCCCCGGGCUGGCCCAAUAUUCAAAAUCCAACGGCUACCUGGCAUCAUGCUAACACCAGGUUACCAUUGCAUUUGAAAUUUUUUUUUUUUUCAAACAAAAUUAAUAAAAAAAUCUAUUUUUUUUUCCUAUAAAUACCUAAGCAAUUCUAUGAACUUUUACCAAUCACUUAUGAUCUACACAUGCCACUUUGAAUGUUAGAUUUUCCUAAUUCAUAUUCCACUUGGAACCUCCAACAUAGAACGUAUAUCUAACAUGCAACCCGUCCGGACGUUCGGAUCAAAUCUGAACAUGAAAGACUCAUUAUGCUUUAUGAAAACCCUUUGAAAAACCAUGCAACCCUUAAGACGUGGUGUUCAUCCUAAGUGAAAUUACAAUUAUUAAUCACAAGAAGCCAGUGUCAAUUUCAGGGAACCUUCCGACCAAAAUUGCAUCAAAUUACUUUUCUAAAGAUCCUAAUGGUGAUCAGGCAUUAAGAUAAUUAAAUAUUUUAAUCCCGAUGAUUAAUAAUUCAAAGUAUGCAUGCAAUCAAUCAUAAGCAAUUAAAUAAAAAUCACAUAUUCAUGCUAAGGCUCAAGGCUUCGCCCUAGAAAAAGGAAUUAGUUACGCAUAUUCAUAAUUGAAAUCAUAGAAACUAUUAUUAAGAAAAUGAUUGAAAACACCUUAAAGUAGAAAAACUCUAAGAACCCUAGCAAUUCUCUCUAUCUCCAAAGUUGCAUAAAAGAAAGCGUAGCAAAAAAAUAAAGAACGGCCAAGCAAUAUAUUUGCUAAGCCCCCCACAAACCCUAAAACAUAGGUCUCUUAUUCCAAUUAGGAAACUAAGAAAUAUAAAAAUAAAAAAUCUUAGAAAAUAAAACCCUAAUUAAACUAGGGAAAUCUGCCAAGUACUUGUCCAGCCCCGUUUUAGCCUCAGAUCUCCUCCAAAUCCAGCCCAAGAUAGCUUAUUUUAAAGAAUAGGCCAUUCCAAACACAUCUCCAGAAGGCCACGAAACCAUCCUAGGUCAUUUUGGGCUCCAAAAACGCAAUUUAAGCCCAGAAACGUCAUUUUCCAGCACCGUGCGUCGCUCUUUUAUUUUAUCGCCAAAAAAUAACCGCUUGGUCGAAAAAUCCAAAAUUUUGAUACGAUCAAGCUAAGUGACUCAUGAACGUCCACCAACUAGAAUUACUCCAAAGUUCAUCCAUUUGGUCCUGUUAUGCUCCAGAGGAAGUCGAAAGUUCUAUAUUGAAAAUACAAUUUAAAGUAUCAAAAUUCUUCCAAAAUAUUAACCAAAAUAUACUAAGAAUAGGGUAAAAUAUAUAAUAUAAAAUUUACUCAUCAAAAUACCCCAAACUUAGCUUUUUGCUUGUCCUCAAGCAAAACAAGACUCAAACAAAAAUAAAAACUUAACAAACUAAAAACUUAACUAAAACUAACUGACAAAAAUUUCCACCUUCAAAGUUGCAAUCCAUAGAACACGUUAAAAAUCAGAACAUCUUUUCAAAAGUUUCAACCAAUCCCACCAUAGAGUCUAAGCCAUUUAGAAUCAAUUAGAAAAGAAUUCACAAACUUCCUUUGGUGUAAAGUGAACCAACAAAGUUAAGGAGACUCAACUAAAACUCUUACCUCUCAUCCCUUUUAUUCACACUUCACACACUAAAUAAUCUUUUUUUUUUCUUUCUUUUCUUUUUGAUUUUUUUUUCAAUAAUAGUAGUGGUCAUGCAAUGUCGGCUCACUUAAGCAUUCGAUCCAACCCAUGUAACGAGCUUUAAGUCAAUGACUCCCAAACCACUAGGGCUUUAGGGCACGGUGUAGAACACCCCUAAGGACUUAUUAACCCUAGCUGAAAAGGCUACAAAACCAACUAACCACCCUGCCCCAUGCCAAAACUCUACUAUUUGACGCGAGAAUCAUUGCUGAUUAGGCAAGACUGGCCCGGUUACUAGGCAAAGUCUCGAGUGAGACAAUUAUUACUUUAUAACACAAAGAAAGGUUGGAGAGCAUUCCCUUAUCCUUGCCAUGGGUUAGGGCCUAUUUCCUCUUGGUUUUGGGCUUCUAGAAGCCCUAUCCUUAUCCCCUUAAUCCUUGCCGCACUUCCCCCUUUCUAGACCCUGUUUUCUUGCCUUGCAAGGAUUUCUAGAAGCCUUAUCCUACCCUAUCCUUAUUUGCCGCACCCUCUAGGUCUUUUUCCUUGUGAAUUCUGAUUUCUAAGCCUUUUUCCUUGUGGAUUUGGGUUAUCCAAGUCCAUAUCUGAUUACCCUAGGGUUUUAAGUGCCUAUAUAUACUCUCAUUCAACCCUUGGCUGAAUUACCACCUCUCAUACACAUCAAUUCACGCCAGAAAUCUGCCCUCUUCUCUGCCGCAGCAUUCCACCACCAUUCUCCCAAAUUUCUGCCAAAAACAACCCCUUGCCGCACCACCCAUCCAUCCUAAACACCACCAUACAUCCCCCGUCCAUUCUACACCAUUUAAUAACCCAAAAACCUAUCCAAAGUCUCUGUGCCGCAGCAAAGAGGAAGGAGGAAUCGUGGAUGCACCUGCUGCCAAGUUGGAGUGUCUAGGUGUUCUCUUUCUUUGGAUUUCAAUGUUUAAACUUAUUUAUCUUUGCUUUGUGCGUAUGAGGAACUAAACCCCCCUUGGCUAGGGGGGAUUCGAAACCAUGUUCAUGCUUGCUAUAUGAUUUGAUUACUUCUAAUUGCGUUUCAUAACUUAUGAAUUCAAUUUGCUUAUCUACAUGAAUUAAAACUGAUUUGUGUGUGUUGGUUGAGAGUGCACACUUAAUUUUCAUGCAUAAGUUUGAUGCUAGGAUAUAAGGGAAUUUCACCUAAUCGUUACGAACUUAUAUUCAAAAGUAGUAAAGGUUGUUGAUCACAAUCGUGUUAAGUAAAUUCUUGGCAUAAGUUUCUUGCAAUUCAUAGUAACAAGUGCCUCGCCAAUGCUUAUGAUUUUCAUAGAACUUAAUGAUCUUUGCUUGUAUCUUUGUUAUGCAAUUCAUGCAGGGAACUUGUGAGGAAUGCUAGGGUUGUCGUAUGCAAUUCAUCCAAUUCAAUAACUUUAGGAAAAUCUAAGGGUUAAUUAGUACAAUUCACGGUUAAUCUGGGGUGUUGGGAAUUCAUGGUUUAUUGAGAAGCAAUUGGAAAUCGUUUUGUAUGCAAGUGUGACAUGUGUGGAAAAGAACCCCUUAGCUAGCUUUCCAUCCGUUAACUUUAGCCAAAUUCGUUUUAAAAUCUGUUCAAGUUACAAAGUUUCUGUUUUGUUUUUAAAUUCGUCUAAAAUCAAUCCCCCUUUAUUUUGUUGAGUCAUCUUAGUUAGAAAUCAACUUAGUUUGUGAUUUUAAAUGUCUUGAGUCAAGUUAUAACUUAUUUUCGUCCAAAUUGUGUUUUGUGUUCAAAACUGCCCAGAUUGUGUUUUUAAGGCAAUUUUGAGUGUUUCUGGGUUGUUUUGAGUCUUUUGGUUUGUUUUAGUGUUUUAGAGUUUAGUUUUGCAUUCUUUGAGUCUAGUUUAGUGUUUUAAACUUUGUGUCUACGUUUUGAGUCAGUUUUCAAGUGAUUUAGCAAUCCCUCCUAAUCCCCGGCCUAGAACGAUCCCUACUUACAUACUUUGCUACAAUUGAUAAAAAGAGGGUUUAAUUUGUGUGCUUGUAUAUUUCGCAUCAAAUUUUUGGCGCCGUGCCAGGGAUUAGCAACAUUGCUAAUCCCUUGGAUUGUUUUAUUUCAGUUUGUUUUAAUUAAUUCCAGAUUCUGACUUUGUUUUUGUUUCUUGUUUUAGGUACUAGUUUAUGACUCGGAGUUCUCAUCCGAUUCGUGAACACAUCUUGGACUUUGACGACGAUUUCGAGCGAGAAUUGAGACGAAAAAGGAAGAAUCCAGAACCUAGUGAAUCAAGUUCAAAUUCAGAAGCCGAAGUUGAGUUUGAGGAAGAGGAACCCACGGCAAGAGUGGGUGAAGUAGAGGAAGCCAUGGCACAAGACAAUCGUACAAUCAAGGAGCUUUCGGCUUCGGGAUUGGACAAUGCGGCACAUCUAUGUAUUCAAUAUCCCACAGCUGCCCAAGGAAAGACCGAGGAAUUCGAGUUAAAGUCAAGUUUGCUACACCACAUUCCGAAGUACCAUGGGUUGUCCAUGGAGGAUCCUAACAAGCACUUGAAAGAAUUCGAGGUGGUGUGUUCAAGCAUGACUCCAAUCAACGUCGAUGGGAGCAUAUUGAAGAUGAAGGCCUUUCCCUUUUCUCUCUUGGAAAAGGCGAAAGAUUGGUUGUAUGAAUUAGCUCCCGAAACGGUCACAUCUUAGGAGAGCAUGAAACGGGCUUUCUUGGAGAAGUUUUUCCCAACUUCUCGAGCCAUUCUCCUACGAAAAAGGAUAAGUGGAAUUCAACAAGAUGAAGGUGAGUCUUUUCCUACGUAUUAUGAACGUUUUAAAUCUUUUGUUGCUUCUUGUCCACAACAUCAAAUGAAGGAUGAGCUUCUUCUACAAUACUUCUACGAGGGGCUUCUACCAAUCGAACGUCAAAUGCUAGAUGCCUCAGCGAGAGGAGCUUUGGUGGACAAGACCCUCAUGGCUGUAAAGACAUUGAUUGCUAACCAAGCAUUGAAUGCUCAACAAUACGAAGGUGUUGGACAAAGGAGCAACCCACGGCAACACCAAGUGAAUGAGGUAAGUGCCAUCUCCGAACUUCAAAAUCAAAUGGCUAACCUUAUUACUCUUCUUUCUCAGGUUGUGGAAUGACCAAAAGUACAAAAUGUGAGUGUUUGUGGCGUGUGCUCCAUGCAAGGACACCUUACGGACAAGUGCCCACAAUUGAUAAAGAAUGGAGGGUGGGAGACCCUCAAUGUCGUGGGAUUUGGGCAGCCAUACCAACAAAGAAAUGAUCCCUUUUCUAAUACAUACAAUCCGGGAUGGAGGGAUCAUCCAAAUUUCAAAUGGCGCGAACCCCAACAAGGCCAACAACAAAGCACAUUUAGGCAACAACCCCCGGGUUUUUAUCAAAAGCCGUUUGUACCAACUCAACCCCAAGCACCACCUGCCCAAAACAAAUCAAGUUCGUCCAUUGAUAAUGAUCAAAUUUUUCAAUUACUAACUUCUAUGGCACAGAGUACGCAAAUUAAGGACAAGAAGGUGGACGAGUUGGAGAAGCAAGUAGGGCAGAUUGCGGAGUUUGUGGGCCAAUUCCGAGAGCAAGGCAAGUUACCUAGCUCAACUGUUGUGAAUCUGAAAUGAGGCUUUGAAUCUGCCAAGGCAAUCAUGCUAAGGAGUGGAAAACAAGUGGGAACAGCCCCCCAACCAUCCAAAUUAGUCCCAAAUGAGGUGGAAGAGAUGAUAAUUGAAAAGGAGGAGCAAAGCAUGCCCACGGCAAGGGAGGAACUCCCAUUGCCGUAAGCCCCCAUGGCUCAUAAACCAUCAAAUCUGUCCAAUAAAGGUAAGAACGUGUCCAAUUCCAUUCCUACUAAUGAUUUUCCUUUGAAUGUCCCUUUUCCUAGUAGGUUCAAGCAAACAAAGAAAGAGGAAGCUGAAAAGGACAUUCUAGAGACAUUUAGGAAAGUUCAAGUCAAUAUCCCUCUUUUGGAUGCAAUUAAGUAAGUACCAAGGUAUGCUAAAUUUUUUAAAGAACUUUGCACCACUAGGAAGAGGAUUUCGACCAAGGAGGUUGUAAAGGUAAGUGAAAAUGUCUCAGCCAUCUUGCAACGCAAAUUGCCCCCUAAAUGCAAAGAUCUGGGUAGUUUUACAAUUCCUUGUGUCAUUGGUAAUACUAGGUUUGAAUCUGCCAUGCUAGACUUAGGUGCAUCUAUAAAUGUCAUGUCAUAUUCAAUUUAUGCAUCUAUGAACCUAGGAGAGUUGAAAAAUGAUGGUGUGAUUAUACAAUUAGCCGAUAGAUCUAAUGCCUAUCCAAAGGGAGUUUUGGAAGAUGUUUCAGUGCAGGUUAAUCAUUUGAUCUUUCCGACGGAUUUCUACGUGCUUGAGAUGGAUGAAUCAGACCAUGCCCCUUCAUUGCCCAUCCUCUUUGGAAGGCCAUUCAUGAAAACGGCUCGGACAAAGAUUGAUGUGUUUAAUGGAACAUUGACCAUGGAGUUUGAUGGGGAAGUUAUUAAUUUCAAUCUUUUUUAUUCUAUGAAAUAUCCUAGUGAGAAUCGUUCAUGUUUUGCUAUUGAUGUAAUUGACUCUUUGGCGCAGGACCAUUUUGACAAAUUGAACGACGAUGCACUUGAAUUGGUCAUUGCACGAGGAAUGGACAAGCAAAACGUUGAAGCAACAACCAUGGGAACCCAAGGCAUGCAUGAAUGUCCCAUUGUCGUGCCCCCUAGUGAUGAGGUCAUUGAGAUGGUGGCUGCCCUUGAGUCAUUGCCAUCACAAACUGGUAAGUUUUUGGACCCAAUUUUAAGUUUAGUUUCGGCUAAUAAGAUGCUUCCCUCAGUUGUGCAGCCACCUACACUUGAACUUAAGCCAUUGCCUAGUCAUUUGAAGUACGUUUUCUUGGGAGAAGAUGAGACGUUACCCGUCAUUAUUUCAUGCUCACUCACGGCACAAGAAGAAGGUAAGUUAGUGAGGGUGCUAAAGGAGUACAAAACAGCAAUUGGGUGGACGUUGGCCGACAUCAAAGGAAUUAGCCCCACAACUUGCAUGCAUCGCAUACUUUUGGAUGAGGGGUCUAAAACAUCUUGAGAGGCUCAACGCCGACUCAACCCUCCUAUGAUGGAAGUUGUGAAGAAAGAAGUCAUCAAGCUUUUAGAUUGUGGAGUUAUCUAUCCAAUCUCGGAUGGUAGGUGGGUUUCCCCCGUUCAAUGCGUUCUGAAGAAAUCCGGAGUAACGGUGGUAGCAAAUGUGGAGAAUGAACUUGUGCCUACUCGCAUUCAAACCGGUUGGAGAGUGUGUAUCGACUAUAGGAAGCUAAACGCCACUACAAGGAAGGAUCAUUUUCCCUUGCCAUUCAUUGAUCAAAUGCUUGAGAGGUUAGCCAGUUAUGCUUUUUAUUGUUUUCUUGAUGGUUAUUCUGGUUAUAAUCAAAUUGUCAUAGCACCUGAGGACCAAGAAAAAACCACUUUUACAUGUCCUUUUGGUACAUUUGCUUAUCGUCGCAUGCCUUUUGGUUUAUGUAAUGCACCUGUCACGUUUCAAAGAUGCAUGAUGAGCAUAUUUUCUGAUUAUGUUGAGAAAAUAAUUGAGGUUUUUAUGGAUGAUUUUAGUGUCUUUGGUGAUUCUUAUGAUGGUUGCUUGCAUAAUCUUAGCUUGAUCUUAAAACGUUGCAUUGAAACUAACCUUGUGCUUAAUUGGGAAAAUUGUCAUUUCAUGGUUAAACAAGGCAUAGUUUUGGGUCAUAUUAUCUCUGAAAAUGGUAUUGAGGUUGAUAAGUCAAAGAUAGAUCUUGUGCGUCACUUACCCUCUCCUACUUCGGUUAGAGAGGUUCAUUCUUUUCUUGGCCAUGCAGGUUUCUAUCGUAGGUUCAUCAAAGACUUCUCAAAGGUGGCACAACCUCUUUGCCGACUCCUACAAAAAGAUGUGACGUUUGAGUUUAAUGAGGCAUUCACUGCAUCAUUCAAUCAACUCAAGGAGUUGUUAACCACGGCACCAAUCAUUAUCCCACCGGAUUGGAGCCUACCUUUCGAGCUUAUGUGUGAUGCGUCCGAUUAUGCGUUAGGAGCUAUUUUGGGACAGAGGAAGGACAAGAGGCCGCAUGUCAUCUACUAUGCCUCACAGACGUUGAAUGAUGCGCAAUUGAACUAUUCCACUACGGAAAAAGAACUUCUUGUGGUUGUUUUUGCUUUAGAUAAGUUUAGAUCAUAUUUAAUUGGUAAUAAAGUAAUUGUUUUCACUGACCAUGCAGCUUUGAAGUACUUGCUCACUAAAAAGGAAGCCAAGCCACGACUAAUUCGGUGGAUGUUGCUACUUCAAGAGUUCGACAUUGAGAUUCGUGACAAGAAGGGAAGUGAAAACAUGGUGGCUGACCACCUAAGCCGAAUGGUACAUAAUGAGGAGUCCUUACCCAUUGCCGAGACAUUCCCCGAUGAACAAUUGCUGUCCAUAAAGGUAAGUGAGCCUUGGUAUGCCGAUUUGGUCAAUUUUUUGGUGUCAAAACGAAUUCCUAGCACUUUCACCAGGCACCAACGUGAUAAGUUAAAGCAUGAUGCAUAGUUUUAUGUGUGGGAUGAUCCAUAUUUAUGGAAAUUUUGCCCGGAUCAGAUUGUACGUCGAUGUGUGCAUAAUUCUGAAUUUCAUUCUAUUCUAAGAUUUUGUCAUACAUAUGCAUGUGGUGGGCACUUUGGCACACAAAGAACAGCCCUCAAGGUAUUACAAUGUGGAUUCUAUUGGCCUAGUAUAGUUAAGGAUGCUAGAACUUUUUGCUUAACAUGUGAUAAAUGCCAAAGAAUGGGUAACAUAGGUGCUAGGGAUCAAAUGCCGCAAGUUUCUAUCCUUAAUGUUGAAAUUUUUGAUGUUUCGGGAAUUGAUUUUAUGGGUCCCUUUCCUUCCUCGUAUGGCUUCAUGUAUAUUUUGCUUGCGGUUGAUUAUGUGUCGAAGUGGGUAGAAGCUAAAGCCACCCGGACUAAUGACUCUAAAGUGGUUGCAGAUUUUAUUAGAACUAACAUUUUUGCAAGGUUUGGCAUGCCACGUGUCAUCAUAAGUGAUGGAGGAUCGCACUUUUGCAACCGGACCAUAGAGGCGUUAUUGAGGAAAUACAAUGUCAACCAUAGGGUUUCUACACCUUAUCAUCCUCAAACGAAUGGCCAAGCCGAGGUUUCCAACCGUGAGAUCAAACAAAUUCUAGAGAAGACCGUUGGGCCUACAAGGAAGGAUUGGAGCUUACAGUUAGAUGAUGCACUUUGGACAUAUCGUACAGCGUACAAGACACCCAUUGGAAUGUCCCCGUUUAGGCUCGUCUAUGGCAAGCCGUGCCAUCUCCCUGUUGAAUUGGAACACAAAGCUCAUUGGGCCGUUAAGAAGUUCAAUAUGGACCUAAAUGCCGCAGGAAGUCAUAGGAAGUUACAACUAAAUGAACUUGAUGAGAUAAGGCAUGAGGCGUAUGAGAAUGCUAGCAUUUACAAGGAGAAGACCAAAGCUUUCCAUGAUAAGAUGAUUCGAGGCAAAACAUUCUCCAUAGGGCAGAAAGUGCUAUUGUUCAAUUCCCGUUUACGGUUGUUUCCUGGUAAGUUACGUUCUAAGUGGAUUGGACCGUUUGUUAUUACUAAUGUUUUUGUUCAUGGUGCAGUCCAAAUCCAAAGCUUGAAAACGGGACAUGAAUUCAAGGUGAAUGGGCACCGAUUGAAGCCCUAUUAUGCGCACUUUAAGGAGCAUGCCGUGGAGGACGUCUUCCUGCAUGCCGUGGGCUCCAAUGAGGAGUGAAUGAGUUCUUCGUCCGGCUGCACGACGUUAAAGAAAGCGCUUCUUGGGAGGCAACCCAUGCAUUCAACAAAGGAAGACCAAGGAAUCACUCCAAUUCCAGAUUUGCGUUCCUCAACCCUUCUCUUUGUUGUUUAUUUCGUUUCUGCUAUGUUUAUUAUGUUAGUUGUUGUUUGUUUGUUUACUUGUUAUUUGUGUUAGUUUAUGCUUGAAACAUUGAGGACAAUGUUUGAUUUAAGUGUGCGGGGGUAACCAAAGUGUUUUGAUGCAAAUUCGUAGGGUUUAUCACCCAUAAUUUCCAAUGUUGUUUCCUUGCUGUUUUUAAGGUGUUUUUAGGCUGUUUUUGAUGUUUUAGUGUGUUUUGACAUAAAAAAUCCGAAAAUCCCAUAAAAAAAUUUGAAAAAAAAUGUUUUGAAAAAAACAAAAAGAGUCGUUUUAAAGUUGUUUUGUGUAGUUGUUUGUGUCUUAGGGUACCUUCCAACACAAUGAUGAGGAUUCGGUUUUUAAUUGCAUGACUGUUAAAGAGAGUUGUAAACAUGGAUGAAAGUUUGAUUUACUCUUUGGUUUAUGCUUGGUUGUGGUUAUAACUUAUGAAUUCACAUGCAAUCAUAAAGGAAAAAAUUAGUUUUUGUAACAUGCUUGAAGGAAGGAACUCAAACUAACGCUACAACCUUGUGAGACUUGAGCCUAAACGUUUAUUUGGAGAGUUAAUAAUCUGUGCAUUGUUGUUUUCUAAAGUCGUUGCAUGAUCUCAUUAUUCUUUGCUUGGUUACUACUUAGAAGGCGUUUCAUCAUUUAGUUCCAAAUGCUAGAACUCAUGCCCAUUUCAUUCAAAGCAUGCUAUUGAUUUGCAUAACACAUAUUCAAGAUGAAGUUGUGUAGUGACCACCAUUUAAGCCAAAAUUGCCGUGUCCCCAUGUUCAUAUGUUUUGUAGGUUUUAACCCCGUUGAGCCUUGUUUAGCCUAUAUUGUUUGUUAACCCACAUUAUCCUCACCUAGCCUAGAUUAGGACCAUCCAUACCCUUGUUCUUGAAGCAUAGUAAAGCAUGACUCAAGAUGAAUUCCUUUUGAUCAAUAUAUUGCAGAAAACAAGUGUGGGGGAAGGGAUGUAUGUGAGUGCCUAAGUCUUUCAUGUGGCACGGGUUAGAAAAGAAAAAAAAAAGAAAUUCCGUGGAAAAUAGCAAGAAAAAAAAAAGUUGUGAAAAAUAUGAAAAAGAGUUGAAAAAGAUGUGAAAAUGAGCUCUUAAGUGUUGAUUGUUGAAGAAAGGGUCCAAAACAUUGAAUUCGACCCUAAGUUUUGCAUGAAUCUUCCCUUGUGUUUAGAAGUUGAUUUCUGCGUACUAAAGUGAAUCAUAAGGUUCGAUUUCAUUGCUUUGCUUGCUAUUGCUUAAAGAACCUUUGUUAUCCCUAUCCGUUCUUUGUUAGCCAAUACCCCAAGCCCCGUUACAACCCUUAACUUUAAUCUUGAGUAUUGUGUGUUUCAAUUUGUGGAGUUUAGAAUUGGUAUGAGCAUAUGGUGUCACUGGUUCUCGCAUCUAAGUAGUAGCAUUCCAUUCAUGAGAUCAUAUCUAAAUGCUUAUUAACUCCAGAAAAUGCUUCCUUUGUUAUAUAUAUAUGUGAGCGUUCGUUUUUAUGUCUACAUCAAUCUUCUCACAUAUAACUAGUAUAGGGUGUGUAGUUAGAAAAUCUGAGUGAAAAUUGAGUGCAUAUCUUGUAAGGAAUUGAGCAAAUUCUCUAAGGCAUGUUACUACAUUCAAAACAUCGUUUUAAUUGGUUAAAUGUGAACUAGUAAGUAGUGACUAUGAUUAAGUAUGUGCUUAAGUGUGAAGAUGACUAAAAUCUGUGGGAAUGAUAAUUUUUAAUAUGUCAUGUGCAUUGGAAAUCCCUGAGAUAAACGUUGGAAGGUUUAGGUUUUGUUUGUUUGUUUCGUUUCGUUUUGUUUUUCUUGGUUUCUUUGUUUUGCUCAAGGACUAGCAAAAGCUAAGUGUGGGGGAAUUUGAUAGGAGCAUAUUUAUGCGCCUUAGUUAACUAGUUCUUAUGCAUUUUCGUUAUGUUUUCUUAGUUUAAGUAGUCUUUUAAGCUAGUUUUAUGUGUUUUCAGGUUUUAAGGGCAUAUUAUACAAAAAGAUGCAAAUUGGAGCUUUUUGGAGCAAAAGUGAGCUUGGAUUGAAUGGCACAUGCUUGGAACAAAAGGUUUGGACGAAAUUGAAGAUUUGAAGAUUUGAGGAUUCCUAGUCUAAGAAGGAUUCCUCAUCAACGAAUGAGUCCUAAUUGAAGAAUGAUUCCUAAUCAACGAGGGAUUCCUAGUUGAAGAUGGAUUCCUAGAAGAAUGAAGAUUCCUACUCAAACAAGGUUUCCUACUUGAAGUAUGAGAGUUAAGCCUAGAAGUUGCUAUUUUGGGUUGAUCUUUCCUAAACCUAAAUGGCCUUAAGUUUCAGCAAAAUUAGAAGGUUCCUAAGCGUUGGAAGACACAAAGAAAGGUUGGAGAUCAUUCCCUUAUCCUUGCCAUGGGUUAGGGCCUAUUUCCUCUUGGUUUUGGGCUUCUAGAAGCCCUAUCCUUAUCCCCUUAAUCCUUGCCGCACUUCCCCCUUUCUAGAACCUGUUUUCUUGCCUUGCAAGGAUUUCAAGAAGCCUUAUCCUACCCUAUCCUUAUCUGCCGCACCCCCUAGGCCUUUUUCCUUGUGAAUUCUGAUUUCUAAGCCUUUUUCCUUGUGGAUUUGGGUUAUCCAAGUCCAUAUCUGAUUACCCUAGGGUUUUAAGUGCCUAUAUAUACUCUCAUUCAACCCUUGGCUGAAUUACCACCUCUCAUACACAUCAAUUCAAGCCAGAAAUCUGCCAUCUUCUCUGCCGCAGCAUUCCACCACCAUUCUCCCAAAUUUCUGCCAAAAACAACCCCUUGCCGCACCACCCAUCCAUCCUAAACACCACCAUACAUCCCCCGUCCAUUCUACACCAUUUAAUAACCCAAAAACCUGUCCAAAGUCUCUGUGCCGCAGCAAGGAGGAAGGAGGAAUUGUGGAUGCACCUGCUGCCAAGUUGGAGUGUCUAGGUGUUCUCUUUCUUUGGAUUUCAAUGUUUAAACUUAUUUAUCUUUGCUUUGUGCGUAUGAGGAACUAAACCCCCCCUUGGCUAGGAGGGGAUUCGAAACCAUGUUCAUGCUUGCUAUAUGAUUUGAUUACUUCUAAUUGCGUUUCAUAAGUUGUGAAUUCAAUUUGCUUAUCUACAUGAAUUAAAACUGAUUUGUGUGUGUUGGUUGAGAGUGCACGCUUAAUUUUCAUGCAUAGGUUUGAUGCUAGGAUAUAAGGGAAUUUCACCUAAUCGUUACAAACUUAUAUUCAAAAGUAGUAAAAGUUGUUGAUCACAAUCGUUUUAAGUAAAUUCUUGGCAUAAGUUUCAUGCAAUUCAUAGUAACAAGUGCCUCGCCAAUGCUUAUGAUUUUCAUAGAACUUAAUGAUCUUUGCUUGUAUCUUUGUUAUGCAAUUCAUGCAGGAAACUUGUGAGGAAUGCUUUGGGUUGUCGUAUGCAAUUCAUCCAAUUCGAUAACUUUAGGAAAAUCUGAGGGUUAAUUAGUGCAAUUCACGGUUAAUCUGGGGUGUUGGGAAUUCAUGGUUUAUUGAGAAGCAAUUGGAAAUCGUUUUGUAUGCAAGUGUGACAUGUGUGGAAAAGAACCCCUUAGCUAGCUUUCCAUCCGUUAACUUUAGCCAAAUUCGUUUUAAAAUCUGUUCAAGUUACAAAGUUUCUGUUUUGUUUUUAACCUCGUCUAAAAAUCAAUCCCCCUUUAUUUUGUUGAGUCAUCUUAGUUAGAAAUCAAUUUAGUUUGUGAUUUUAAAUGUCUUGAGUCAAGUUAUAACUUAUUUUCGUCCAAAUUGUGUUUUGUGUUCAAAAUUGCCCAGAUUGUGUUUUUAAGGCAGUUUUGAGUGUUUCUGGGCUGUUUUGAGUCUUUUGGUUUGUUUUGUUUUAGAGUUUAGUUUUGCAUUCUUUGAGUCUAGUUUAGUGUUUUAAACUUGUUUAUACAUUUUGAGUCAGUUUUCAAGUGAUUUAGCAAUCCCUCCUAAUCCCCGGCCUAGAACGAUCCCUACUUACAUACUUUGCUACAAUUGAUAAAAAGAUGGUUUAAUUAAUCUAGAUAAAUGGUCAGCCACCACAUUUUCACUACCCUUUUUAUCUCUGAUUUCUUAAUCGAACUCUUGCAAUAAAAGAAUCCAACGAAUCAAUCGAGGCUUAGCAUCUUUUUUAGACAACAAAUACUUCAAAGCUGCAUGAUCUGUAUAAACAAUCACUUUAGCCCCAACUAAAUAAGAACGAAAUUUUUCCAGUGUAAAAACAACUGCCAACAAUUAUUUCUCUGUGGUUGCAUAGUUUAGUUGUGCAUCAUUAAGGGUUCGACUAGCAUAAUAAAUAACUUGGGGAAGCUUAUCUUUCCGUUGUCCAAGAACUGCUAUUACUGCAUAAUCUAAAGCGUCACACAUUAAUUCAAAAGGUAAGCUCCAAUUAGGGGCUGCAAUAAUGGGUGCUAUAGUGAGGAGUGUCUUUAACUUCUUAAAGACCUCCAAACAGGCCUCAUCAAAAACAAAGGAAGCAUAUUUAGCCAAUAAAUUACACAAUGGUCGGAAAAUCUUGGAGAAAUCCUUGAUGAACCAUCUAUAAAACCCAGCAUGGCCAAGAAAAGAUCGAACACUCUUAACAAUUGUCGGGGGUGGCAACUUUGCAAUUACAUCAAUUUUAGCCUUAUCAACCUUAAUACCCCUGUUAGAAAUCAAGUGGCCUAGGACAAUUCCCUGCUUAACCAUGAAAUGACAUUAUUCCCAAUUUAAAACAAGAUUGGUCUUAAUGCAUCUUUCAAGAACUAGAGAUAAAUUCUGCAAACAUUGGUCAAAAGAGUCCCCAAAAACAGAAAAGUCAUCCAUAAAUACCUCAACUACUUGUUCAACUAACCCGAAAAAUAUGCUCAUCAUGCAUCGCUGAAACGUGGCAGGCGCAUUGCACAAACCAAAAGGCAUUCUUCGAUAUGCAAAUGUCCCAAAAGGACAAGUAAAGGUUGUCUUCUCUUGAUCCUCAGGUGCAACUAGAAUCUGGUUAUACCCUGAAUAUCCAUCCAAGAAACAAUAGAAAGCACGACCAACCAACCUUUCCAACAUUUGAUCAAUGAAUGACAAUGGUAAAUGAUCUUUUCUAGUACCCGCAUUGAUCUUUCUAUAAUCAACACACAUACGCCACCCAGUAGUCAAACGUGUAGGCACAAGUUCAUUAUUAUCGUUCUUCACAACUGUAAUUCCAGAACGCUUCGGCACCACUUGAGUUUGACUAAUCCAUUUACUAUCUGAAAUGAGGUAGAUCAUCCCAGCAUCUAAAAGCUUCAUAACUUCAUUACGAACAACUUUUUUCAUAAUUGGAUUUAAACGACGUUGAGCAUCAAUGGCAGGCUUUACUCCAUCUUCCAUCAAAAUUCUGUGCAUACAAAUUGUAAGGCUGAUCCCUUUAAUGUCUGUUAUAGUCCAACCAAUUGCAUCUUAAUAACUCCUUAAAAUAUGUAACAGUUUAUCUUCUUCUGUUGAUGAUAAAUCAGCAGUAAUAAUAACUGGUAGCGAAGAAUCUGCACCCAAAUAAGCAUAUUUCAAGUGUUCUGGUAGCACUUUUAACUCCAAUUUAGGUGGAUGUACCUUAGAAGGCUGUAAUAGUUUUUUGGGUUCCCGCACACUCUUAAAAACAUGCAUCCAACGGGGGGUUGAAAAUGAACACUUUCCAAAGCUGAAACAUACUCAAAAACCUCUUCAUCUUCUGUAUUUUUAUUCUCAAACCCAUGCAACACAUUUAACAAUGGAUCAGAUGUCAACGUGGCAUAAUUUCAGCAUGUAUUAAGUUGUCAAACACAUCAACACUCAUACAAUCUUCCACUUCAACUGGCCUUUUAGUUGCUUCAAAUAAAAUGAACACAACAUAUUGAUCUUGCACUCUAAGUGUAAGUGUUCCAGCCUCUACAUCAAUUAAUGUUCAAGCAGUUGCCAUGAAAUGACGUCCCAAAAUAAUUGGUGUUUGCAUAUCUUCAUCCAUAUCCAAAAUAACAAAAUCUGCAAGAAGAUAGAGAUUAUCCACUUUAAUAAUUACGUCUUCAAUAAUUCCCCUAGGAUAAGCAACUAAAUGGUCUGCUAGUUGUAGAAUAACUGAUGUAGGCUUGAUUUCUCCUUGUCCUAGUCUCUGAAAAACAGAAAAAGGCAUUAAAUUAAUACUUGCACCUAAAUCAAUUAAAGCACGUUUAAAAUUAGAAUUUCCAAUUGUGCAUGAAAAUGUAAAACUCCCUGGAUCUUGUUUCUUUGGGGGCAAUUUGUGUAAUAGAACUACGCUACAUUGUUCUGUAAGAAUCACUUUUUCAAAAUCAACGAGCUUCUUUUUCUUUGUGCAAACAUCCUUCAAAAACUUGGCAUAAGACGGAAUGUUCUUGAUGGCAUCGAUUAACAGUAGAUUAAUCCGAACCUUAGACAAAGUCUUCAUAAAAUCUGUCAAAUGUUGAUCUUUAACUUUAGGCUUCAACCUUUCGGGAUAAGGCAUAGGUGGCUCAUAAACACAUUCCGCAGCAAUAUCUGCACUAUUUUUGGAACUGCUCAAGGGUUGUGCAGAAUCUUUUAAAUUGUCAGAUUUUUCAACAUUUCCCGAAUCUGUAUUUGGCUGUGAUACCACCUGCGAAUUUUGAACACAAUUUUCAAGUCUAUUAUCAUAAAUUUUGCCAAAACGUGAAACUCUAACUAACUGCCUUGCAAUCUGCACCUCCCCUUAGAUUUGGUUCGGUUUGGCUGGGAAAUGUACCCGGUGCUCUUUCUGAAACCUACAAAGCAAUCUGCCCAAUUUGUUUUUCCAUGUUUUCAUUGCUACCUGUAGAUUUUGGAUUUCUUGAGUGGUAAUAUUCGCUAAUUUUUUAAUUGCAACCUCCCAAGCAACCUUAGGUGCAGCAGAUUAUUGUACCUGCUGUUGAAAUUGUGGCAUAGAGUGCUGAUCUUUGUCCCACUUUAAAUUAGGAUGAUCUCUCCAACCUGGGUUGUAGAAAUUUGAAUACGGGUCAUAUCGGGGACGCUGGAAAUUGUUAAAUGCAUUAACCUGCUUUGCUGUAAACUCUGAACAAACAUCUUUAUGUGGACAGCUCAUAAAAUCAUGAGUUAUCAUGUUGCAAAUGCUGCAGGCAGCUUGUAAGGGCUAUUGUACAACAACCUGUGAACCUGGAAUUCUUUGUAAUAACAAGUCAAAUUUUGCAUCAAGUCUUUUCUCCAUGUUUUCAAUUUGUGCUGUAACAUAUGGAAAGCCGUUAGACAUCUUAAAAACAGACCUAGAUUGUGGCUGCUCAACUGCCCACUGUUGUGUAUCUGCUGCCAUUUUUUAAAAUAACAAACAAGCCCUUUGUGCAUUUUUAUCUUUGUACGAACCUCCGUAUGAAGCGUUGACAAGAGUUUUUGUAGUCAUAUUUAACCCUCUGAAAAAUAUAUGCAUUUGAUCAGUACUGUUAAUACUGGAAUGUGGACAUUUUCUAAUCAACUCUUUGAACCAUUCCCAUGCCUCAUGAAACUCUUCAUUUGGUUUUUGGGCAAAAGAUAAAAUAUGAGUUCUCAUGUCAAGAGUCUUUGAAGCUGGAUAAUACUUGUUUAAAAAAAUUUCACUAAGUUGGGCCCAAGUACUAAUGCUUCCAGAUGGAAUUGUGAGAAGCCAUCUCCUUGCUUGAUGUUUCAGAGUAUAUGGAAAUAAACGGAGCUUAAUAGAUUCGGCUGAAAAUCCUCUCACCAAAAUAUUCUUCCAUCCCAUUAAAAAUUCUGCAAUAUGCAUGUUUGGAUCGUCGAUUGAUAACCCAUGAAAUGUAGGUACAAUAUUCAACAUGUGCUGGUUUAUUUCGAAUGUACACCCUUCCUCCAAUACCGGAUAAGUAAUGCAACUUGAUAUGUUAAUGGUAUAAGCUGUUAAAGAAUCACCCAAAGGUUGACCCACCUCUGGAAUAACGAACGCCAUUUUUUCUUUACUGUGCAGAUUCCCAGAAAUUAAAGACGGCAGAAACGUCCCAUGUAAAGAAGGAACCCACUGCAAGUUUUGUUCCCUGCGUCUUCUGCUCAAUGUUUGCUCAAGUUCUGGAUCAAGUGGAAUCAAUUUAUGCACUGUUGAACGGGUGCUGACCAUGCACAGAUUGUAAUCUGCACUGCCCUGUUGUAAUCUGUAAAAAAAUAAAAUAAAAACGAAAAUUAAAUUUUUUUUAUAUGUAUAAACAGCAAUAACUAACUGAAAAUCUAAUUAGGACGAAUUAUUUUAAAUAAUCCCCGGCAACGGCACCAUUUUCUUGAUAGGGAUUUUACUACUCAUGUGCAUAAGAUAAAAACUCCUAUAAUAUUUGCAAGAAUUACAAGGUUAUUGUAGUAUAAACGGAUCUCGCAAGGUCGUUCUCCACAGGAAUUAUUAAUUAAUUUGAAGCAAACCAAAUUCCAAUUAAUUAUUGUAAAGUAGAAAUUGAGAUGAUUGAUUUUUAUGGCCUAAUUUAAUAAAAAGAAUUUAACUAAUAAAAAUAAGACAAUCUGCAAUAUUAAAACUAGAGGGAAAAGAAAACAGUUUUGGGAGAAAUCAAAUUAAGAAAGCACUAGGGUUCCACCAUCACCAACCAAUCCUAUGAACUUUUACCAAUCACUUAUGAUCUACACAUGCCACUUUGAAGGUUAGAUUUUCCUAAUUCAUAUUCCACUUGGAAUCUCCAACAUAGAACGUAUAUCUAACAUGCAACCUAUCCGGACGUUCGGAUCAAAUCUGAACAUGAAAGACUCAUUAUGCUUUAUGAAAACCCUUUGAAAAACCAUGCAACCCUUAAGACGUGGUGUUCAUCCUAAGUGAAAUUACAAUUAUUAAUCACAAGAAGCCAGCAUCAAUUUCAGGGAACCUUCCAACCAAAAUUGCAUCAAAUUACUUUUCUAAAGAUCCUAAUGGUGAUCAGGCAUUAAGAUAAUUAGAUAGUUUUAAUCCCGGUGAUUAAUAAUUCAAAGUAUGCAUACAAUCAAUCAUAUGCAAUUAAAUAAAAAUCACAUAUUCAUGCUAAGGCUCAAGGCUUCGCCCUAGCAAAAGGAAUUAGUUAUGCAUAUUCAUAAUUGAAAUCAUAGGAACUAUUAUUAAGAAAAGGAUUGAAAACACCUUAAAGUAGAAAAUCUCCAAGAACCCUAGCAAUUCUCUCUGUCUCCUAAGUUGCAUAAAAGAAAGCGUAGCAAAAAAAUAAAGAACGGCCAAGCAAUAUAUUUGCUAAGCCCCCCACAAACCCUAAAACAUAGGUCUCUUAUUCCAAUUAGGAAACUAAGAAAAAUAAAAAUAAAAAAUCUUAGAAAAUAAAACCCUAAUUAAACUAGGGGAAUCUGCCAAGUACUUAUCCAGCCCCGUUUUAGUCUCAGAUCUCCUCCAAAUCCGGCCCAAGAUAGCUUAUUUUAAAGAUUAGGCCGUUCCGAGCACAUCUCCAGAAGGCCACGAAACCAUCUGAGUCAUCUUGGGCUCCAAAAACGCAAUUUAAGCCCAGAAACGUCAUUUUCACCGCGCGUCGCUCCUUUAUUUUAUCGCCAGAAAAUAACAGUUUGGUAGAAAAAUCCCAAAUUUUGAUAUGAUCAAGCUAAGUGACUCACGAACGUCUUCCAACUAGAAUUACUCCAAAAUUCGUCCAUUUGGUCUUGUUUUGCUCCAGUGGAAGUUGAAAGUCCUAUAUUGAAAAUACAAUUCAAAGUAUCAAAAUUCUUCCAAAAUAUUAACCAAAAUAUACUAAGAAUAGGGUAAAAUAUAUAAUAUAAAAUUUACUCAUCAUACGCCAGCAGAGGAAUUGUAUAUGGAGGACAACUCAAAACCCUCUAGUCAUCGCGGUUGUUGGGAAAUUUGUAAAGGGUGGGUGCUAUUUGAAAAUCCACCUCAAGAAAGAGUUGGUCCUACGCUGGUGUUUGGAAAUGUUUUCUCAAAUGCAGUUGGGGAUGAACAUGGAUGUCCUACCAUUAAAGAAAUAAGGGUAGAAAAUUCAUCUCCGGCUGAAGGUUCCAUACCUAGGGCUACAGGAUGAAACAGGGCUCGAAAAUUGAAGGAAAAAGGCAAGGCAAAGGAUGAUUACGCCUUUCAGCAAGAAAUGGCAUCCUUGUUGCCAUUAAUGAUGGAGCAAAAUCCUUUGCCGCGGAAGAAAGGAACCAUAGGCACGAAGAACAGGCAAAACAAAUACAAGAAGAGAUGGAUGAUAAGAACAUGCAAAGGAACACUUCAGAUUACACUCCAAUGAGUAAGGCAUAUUUUGAUAGGAAAAUGUGGGAAAUUAUGGUAUGACGAUAGUUGUUUACAUCUGACUAUACUCCUACAAUGGCGGAUGAAGAUGAUGAUUAUAGUCUUUAAAUUGAAGUUGUUGUUGUCUUUAAUAUUUAAGUUGUAGUUUUAAAAUUUAAGUUGUUGUAAUAAGAAAUAUGAUUUGGUACUGUUCAUUAAAAUAUUAAUUUCUUGGAGGAAUAUAGAGUUAAAGCGAGUCCUCUGGCCCUCAUUCGAUAUGAGAUGGCCUAAGAACUCGACAGCUGGUAUGCGUCUAACUGAAAGUUCCUUUCACAAACCUACUAUUGUUGUAAUCUUAUGGCAGUAUAUGAAGAUUUGAUUUUUCUAAUCCAAGCUGUCAACAAAAGGACAAAUGUAUCAUCUCAUUCAAUUAAGAAGUGGCCCAAGUGGGCUUUAGUGAGCUGAUAAAGGAGAACGAAAUUUUUAUUUUUAUAUUUAAAUAAAAGAUUUAUAGCUUAAAACAUCGAGAACUUUAACGAAAAGCUCACAGUACUGUUCACUUUAACGAAAAAUCACAUUUUUACACUAAAAAGUCAAUCCUGGUACUAUUCACUUUACCCUUUAUUUUGUCAUUAUCGUUAAAACUCAAAAUUUUUAAACCCUUUUCAUUAGUUUUCCUUAAAACAUUUAGGGGCUCAUACUUCAGGAUAUUAUAGAAAAUCUCUAUUAAGAAAGCGAGGAAUUGAACUGUAGUUCGAAUUCAGAGAUUGAAUGUCAUUAACAAACUAAAAGAGAAUGCUUUGAAUUGUAUUAUAUUCUUCUCAAUAAGAGGUACUUAUAGGUUUACAACCCUAACAUAAAUGGAAAAAGAACUAAUUACAAGUGAUUACAUGAGAAUACACGAAAUUACAAUCAAUUAGGGAUCCUACUUAAAAUAGAAAAGUCAACACUCCCCCUCAAGUUGGUGCAUAUAUGUCGCUCAUACCCAACUUGUGUAAGAAACUUGAAAACUUAUGACUUGAAACAGCUUUUGUGAGGAUAUUUUCCAACUGAUCUUCUGUUCUUAUCGUCGGUACUUCAAUUAUUUUCCCUUCCAAUUUUUCUUUGAUGAAAAACCGGUCAACUUCAACAUGUUUUGUUCUAUCAUGUUGUACCGGAUUAUGUGCGAUGUCACGGGCAGCUUUAUUAUCACAAAAUAAUUUCAUGGGCUGAUCAUGUUGUAUACCCAAAUCGCUUAACAGAAGCUUAAGCCACAAAAUUUCACAAAUUCCCAAACCCAUACCUUUGUAUUCUGCUUCUACACUGGAACGGGCAACCACAUUCUGUUUCUUACUUCUCCAUGUAACCAAGUUACCCCCAACAAACGUAAAGUAACCUGAUGUUGAGAGCCUAUCGUCAAUUGAACUCGCCCAGUCUGCACACAUAUAACCUUCAAAGCUAAAGUGAUUAUUCCUUUUAAACAAAAUUCCUUUGCCCGGACUUCCCUUCAAAUAUCACAAUAUUCUCAUCAUGGCAUUCAUAUGUUGUUCUCCAGGAUCAUGCAUGUAUUGACUCACUACACUCAAGGCAUAAGCAAGGUACGGUCUUAUGUGUGCCAAAUAUAUCAAACGGCCUACUAACCUUUGGUAUCUUCCUUUGUCAACUGGUACUUGAUUAUAAUCAACACUAAGUUUCAAUCUUUCUUCUAAUGGUGUAGUUACUGGCUGACAUGCCAGUUUCGUGCAACAAAUCAAUAAUAUACUUCCUCUGAGACAAGAAAAUUCCAGAACUGAUUCUCGACACCACAAUCCCUACAAAAUAUUUCAGGGAUCCAAGGUCCUUCAUUUCAAAUUCUGUAGACAGGUAUCUUUGCAAGGCCGCACGUUCUUCCGGAUCAUUACAUGUUACCACCAUAUCGUUUACAUACACAAUAAGUGCAAUAAGCUUCCCAUUCUGUCUUUUCAAGAACAAAGUAUGAUCGGAGUUACUUUGUCGGUAACCAAAUGCUCUCAUAGAUUUUGUGAAUUUUCCAAACCAUGCUUGAGGAGACUGCUUUAAGCCAUACAAGGAUUUCUUCAACUUGCACACCUUUCUUUUGUAUUUAUCUGGAGCAAUACAUCCAGGUGGAAGAUCCAUAUAAAUCUCUUCUGUCAAAUCUCCAUGCAAGAAGGCAUUCUUCACAUCAAAAUGUUGUAAAGGCCAAUCAAGAUUUGCAUCCAAGGACAACAAAACACGAACAGUGUUGAUCUUGGCCACAGGAGCAAAUGUAUAUGUAUAGUCAAUUCCAUAUUUUUGAGUAUAUCCUUUUGCUACCAGUCUUGCCUUGAAGUGAUUCACCAUCCCAUUAGCUUUAUACUUCACAGUAUAAACCCAUUUACAUCCCACAAGUUUCUUAUCAACUAGCAAGUCUGCGAUCUCCCAGGUAGCAUUCUUCUUCAAAGACUUUAACUCUUCAUUCAUUGCUACUUGCCAACAUGGAUCAGCUAAGGCCUCCUGCACACUGUUAGGAAUAGAUACAAUAGAUAAUUGAUACAAAAAUGACUUAUUUGAUUCUGACAGGUGACUGGUCAACACAUAAUUAGUUAAUGGGUAUAACACAUUGGAUUCAGGGUUAGGCUUAUUCAUUGGAUACCUAGUUUUGCAUUUAAGGUCAGCUUCAUAAGUAGGUUUAGGAAUACCUCGGUUUACACGGUCAGAGAGGCGACGUGGCGGUGGUGCAUCCAGGAUCAAAGGGGAUUGAUUAUGGUUAUUGGGGCUCAAGGGCGGUGAUAUCGAUUGUGAGGUAGUUGGCAACACAGGGUUGUCCGCUGGUGAGGAAACUGGCAGUGAGAUGUCAGGCAAAGAUGAAGGUUGUGAGUUAUCUGGUGCAGUCAACUUGUUACUUUCAAAGUUUUCAACAUUGUUUCCAUGUGAAUGAUUACCACUUGUCUCCAAGACAUUACCACUUACCUCCAAUUCAUUCACAUUAUUAUUUUCUUGUGAAUGAUCACCACUUAUUUCCAAGACAUCACCACUUAAAUCUAAAUCAUUCAUACUAUCUGUCUCCAUAAUAGUAUAGUCAAAAGUUUGAACUUCUGUUUGAUUCUCCCCUGAAGUGAAGACUCAGGACUGGAAAAGUACAUAUCAUUCUCAUGAAAGGCAACAUCCAUAGUGACAAACAACUUUUUCGUCGAAGGGUGAUAACAACGAUAUCCCUUCUGAUUUGAAGCAUACCUCACAAACACACACCGUAAGGCCCGAGGUUCAAGCUUACUCUUCUGCUGUUUAUGAAGAUGAAUGAAGGCCAUACAGCCAAACACAUGAGGUGGAAGAUUGGGGACUGCAUGAGCAUCAACGUGUGAGGAGAGAGCCUGAAGUGGUGUUUGAAAAUCAACGGAUUGGGAUGGAACACGAUUAAUGAGAUACGCAGCUAAGAUGAGCCUCGAGCAAAGAAGCAUGAACAACCUCCAAAAGCUUACGGUUCUUGCAUUCUGCAAACCUAUUUGUUGUGGAGUAUAUGGGCAUGUGGUUUGAUGAACAAUGCCAUGAUGAUCAAGAAAGGCACGAAGGUCAGAGUUAACAUAUUCACCGCCAUUAUCAUUCCUAAGAACCUGUAUGUGGGACUUAUUUGUACUUGUACCAUUUUAUAAAACUGCAGAAACAAAUAAGGAACUUCACUUUUGGACUUCAUCAAACAUACCCCAAGUCAUACAUGUGCAAUCAUCAAUAAAAGUAACGAACCAAUGAGCACCACCAAACGUAGCAGUUUUAGAUGGCCCCCAAACAUCAGAAUGAAUUAUCAUAAAUGGAACUUAACUUUUAUUCAUACUGGAUGGAAAUGAAGUAUGAUGACUUUUAGCCAUUUGACAAACACCACAUUUAAAGCUAGAAACGUCAUGCUUAACUAAUAGGCUAGGAAACAAUCUUCGUAAAUAGCCGAAAGAAGCAUGUCCAAGUCGAUGAUGCCACAACCAAACCUCUGAAGCUUUAUCCUUCCCCCUAUGAGAUCCUUCCACGGCAAGAGCUUGAGUUAAAUUUUGAGAACUGUUCGAUGUCAGCUCCAAGUAGUAGAGCUUUCCCCUCUGAAUACCAUAACCAAUCGUCUUACGAGUCUGAAUGUCCUUAAAACACAAAAGGAAGGCCAAAAAAUAACAAGGCAAUGUAAGGCGACAGUUAUUUGAGCAACAGAUAAUAAAUUAUAGUCAAGGGAAGGAACAACAAGUACAGAGUCAAGAAUCAGAGUAUCAGAGAGGGAGACAUCGCCUUCCCCAAUAUGGGGACAACAUUACCAUUGGCAACACUAACUAUAGUAUUGGUGGAUGGUUUUAGGAUUUGGACUUGUCUAGAAUCACAAGUCAUAUGUUCAGUAGCUCCAGAAUCAAUUAUCCAUGUACUAUUCAUAACAGAUGCAGAAAUUUUUAAAGCCUUACCAUUAUCACUUGUAUGAUCAGAAUCAGCCUUAGCUUUGGCAACCAAUGCACGCGACUUGAAUCGGUCAUGAUUGAUCCUACUCUCCUGUUCAGUUUGAUCAGAUCGAUGCAUAGUGAGUGGGUCGUGAGUGGAUGCAGGGAUCGGUUCGGUGAACUCCGGUCUACAACGACAGCAUCGCUCGCUGGUCGGACGGGCACAGUACACAACUGGAUGCACGGUGGUUUUCAGUUGACUCGAAUCAGCAACGACGGCGUCGCUCACUGGUUUCACAGUGCACGGCACAACAGGCUGCACGGUGAUUUAUGUUCUUCAGACAAAUUGCAAUAAUAAUAAUAUUUUUAUUUUUCUUAACCUGGCUUUAGUGCCAAGGAGAGAAUGCUUUGAAUUGUAUUAUAUUUGUGAAACCCCACCCCUAAAAGUAAUGUAAUUUCAUUUUGUUUUGGGUAUUGUUUUCUUUUAAAAAAAAAAUUUGGUGUUAAAUUGUGUGCCAUGUAGGGCCCAUCCACUUUUUGGUCUCCUUCCCUCUCUUUCCCGUCACUCUCCUUCACUCUCUCUUUCUUCUUCUCCUUCAUUAUGCCACACCCAUAACCCAUAUCCUAAAAUCAUCAUCAAAUCACAAUUUCAACAUCACCAUCGUCUUUAUCUCGUUGCUACAAACUCAACCAUAGUCUUAGCAUCUUGUAAGUCGAACCAUGAAGCCUCGUACACGAGCUCCGAUGCAGACCGCCCCUUUCGAGGAAAAUUUUGGCCAAACCACAGCGAGUUGGCUGGCGUACAAGGUAUUAUUCUCUUUGUCUCACUGAGAACGACAACUUUCCUUUUUGUUUCACCCAAUUUCGUUGAGUAUUGAAGAAGUUAUACUCAUUUGAAUCUUACCCAGUUUCCGGCGGCCUCUGAGGCUUUCGAGGCAUUUUCCGGUCAAACCACGACGAUUUAGACAUCAUGUGAGGUACCAUUCUCUUCGCCUCUUCAAGGGCUAUGAUUUCUGUUUUUGAAUUACUUGAUUUCGUUAAGUAUUGAUAAAGUUAUGGUUGUUUAAAGUUUGUGUAAAUUCCUGCCGAAUCUGGCCUUCUCUUUCGAAUGGGUCCGGCGACCCACAUUCCAGAAAACCCAAGCCUUUUAGGCCAUUUAGAACUGGGGCUUUAGGCCUGUUGGAUCCGAGCCCAACCCAAACCCUUUUUCCUUUUAUUUUGUUUUAAUUUUAAUUGUUUAAUUAUAAAGGCCUUUGGGCCAUGUUUAAAUUAGGGCCUUCAGCCUGUUCCCUUGUUGAACCUAGAAACCCUUAGGCUAAAAGCCUUUGGGCCUUUUGAACCAGGGCUUUAAGCCCUUUCCUCUUUAAGCCCUAAAACCUAAGGUCCUAACCCAAUAAACCCUUUUAGUUUAAAAACCCUAAACCCAAUUAUUUACCCUAGGCCUUUUAUCAACCUAAUUCCCUAACCCAUUAACCUAAACCUAUUAACCAUUUAUCCUAAACCUAAACCUAACCCAAGUCCUAACCCUAAACCCUAGUCGGCCUAAAACCCUUAAUGGAGAAUAUUCCGUCAGGGAAUAUUCUAUUAGGGAAUAUUCAGGGAAUAUUCUAUUGACGUUUUCAAAAUUUAUCCGUUUCCAAUGUCCGUUUUCCCAAAUUCUAUUGCUAUUAUAUAGUUUUAUUAAUUGAGCCCUUUAUGUGCUUAGGGGCAAUUAUAGUGGCGUUUUUGUCUUCGCUAGUUGCGUGGCUCUUCGAUGGCGAAGUACUGUGAGUGGACCCCUUCUAAAAAUGCAUGUUUUAAUAGUAGAAAUGCAUACAUGGAAAAGCAUGAUUUAGUGAUUAUGUUCUAUGAAACGCUUUGAGAUAACUUGCUUACUGAGGCUAUUUUGAAUUAUUACUAUUUUUCCUAUAACCCAUGUUCUUAUAGAAUAUCCGAUGGAUGACGAUAUGAUAUUUAGAAUAUGUUUCGAACACCUCUUUAUAGUAUAGAUGAUGGAUGACUUUAUAGUAUGAAGUUGCUUUUCAAGAUAUAUAUGUUCAGUGGUUUUGUACUUACCUAGUGGUCCUUCCGCUAUGGGACGAAAGGAUAGAUUCUGGUCCGUCCCGGGCGACGGUUUGGUGUUGGCAUAGGGCCUGGAGUGUGUUUCCUCUGGCUAUUUAGCACAGGGACGGGGAGCCGGCAUUGGGCCUGAAAUGUAUUUUCCUCUGACUGUCUGCUCAGAGACAGGGAGUCGGCAUGGGGCCUGGGGGUUAUCGGACAAUUCACUAGUGAUUAUUAUAUAUACAAGUUAUGAUUUGAGACAUUGCACGGCAUGCUAGGUUUCGAAAAACCUAUGUUUAUCAUGAUAUAUGUGUUUUCAUAAAACCUAGGGGUUAGUAUGUUGAUAAUUGUUUUAUUAUAUAUAUAUCAACUUGGUCCACUCAUGUUUGUUUUGCACCCCCUUCAGGACUUAGAAUCGAGGCAUACAAUCCCGACAUCCAGGCAUUUCCGCAUCCACAUCUUCGAGUCCUUUCGGUGUAGGACCCACUCCUUUGUUCAUUUAAUUUUAUAUUAUUUCUUUCGGUGUUCUAUUUAGUCGUAUGCUCUGAACACGUUCCUUAAAUGCAUAUUCUUGAUUAUUUUAUAUUUAUAAGUCUUAUCUAUUCCUUAUUCUCAGCAUUUGCACUCAACAAAUGGCUUUCAUCGCCCUCGGAUGUCGGCCAGCACAUGCUCAUCCUGGUAUUCGGGGAAUAUCGGGAUCGGGGCUUGUCAGAUUAGUAUCAGAGCUUGGUUUGUUCAGAGCAUACUUAGGAUAUUCUCUUACGGUAGUAGUGUGUCUGUCAUGACAUCAUUUGGAUGUCACGACUUCUGUAUUUGGUGUCAUUCGACGCAAUUGUGUAAACCUUUCUCUGUUUGAAUUGUCACCAUCUGGUUGAAAUACAAGAAUUUGUGUCGAGAUUUUGCCUCAUCGGUGAUGUGUUUGAAUUGUUGGACAACUUUCAACAUCGGAUCGAUACUCUACGACGUACAUUCCCUGCGAAUGACGGGUAAAGUCGGUGUUACUUGGAAACGAAGUGUUUUAGAAAUCUCAGUUUGAGGAUGUUUGGUCAAGACCAACUGUAGAUCCGAAAUGGCAAUGCCACUCUGCAACAUGCGUUCCCUAGGAAUUACGGGCGGAGUCGGCUCUACAUAGAAAUCUUGGGAAACGGAAAAAAAAAUCUUGGUGGUACGAGUUGGUUAAGAUCAAUAGAAACCUGAAACGGUGAUAUCAUUAUGCGAAAUGCGUUCCCUAGAAAUGGCUGGCAGAGUCAUAUAUCUUGGAAAUUGCUCGAAACUUGGUGUUAGAGAAAGCGAGUAUAUGUUAGUUGUGAUAACGGUUAGUAAGUGGUAGUUGGUGGGAGCAAAUCAAUAUUCUCAGACUCAUUACCACUAAAGAAAUUUGUGUGAUUUUUAUAACAAUUCUCGACGAUUGUUCUAUCGAUUACCUUCUUGUUUACUCAACGACGAAGUCAAGUUCCUUAACCAUUGAUUGUCAACUUCACAUCAAAUCCUUCGAGAGUUGACUUCGUCUAGAGAUUACACUUUUCUUGGGAAACUUCUCGGUAGCAUACGCUUUUCCCAUCAAUUUCCAAAAGGUGUUGCGAUUCUUGUCGUUGUUGUAGUUGGACUUGGAUGAUGAAAAUCCAGACUUGUUGGAUAAACAGACUCCUUGAACUUCACAUGGGUUUGGCACUCGGUGGUAAAACCCUAGCACCUUGUCCACGAACUUUUCGAUAGAGGUGAACUUAGCCUUUUGCUUGUAGCCCAACUAACUAGUGCUCUUGUUCGUUAAUUGUUAAGCCUUGUAAUUUUCAGUGUAAUGGCUUAAGACUCUACCAUAUUCAUCAUUGUAUGAAGAUUGAGCUUUGCUCUAAACUUCUCUGGACUCAUUGAGCCUUGGUUUUCUCAAAAGCAUCACUUUAAGAUAGCCAAUCGUGUCACUGCAUGUAUACGCAUGCUACUUCGUAUCUUUCUUCCUCGUCAUUCUGUUGAUUCAGAGGUUCUAUGUUUAAUUUUUGAACUUUGAAACAAAUCUCAUAAAGUAUUGUGAAUUUUGAAAUGUCUUUGGCCUCGUCAAAUCUUAUAAGCAGUUUUUAACUAUUCUUUAAGCUUAGACUUGUUUCCUUUUUGGCUAAGAAACCCGUCAACCUUAUUGUGAUGAUUAGCCAAAUAAUCAUAAACAGUGACUUCUAUUUCUGCAUCUUCAUUUUCCUUUGCUUGUUUGUUUCUCAAUGUAAACUGAAUCAUGCUGGAACAAUACAUUAACGUUUUUUCUCGGCAUGGUUCCUGGUUCAAAUCUCGAUAUCUUGUACUCUAGAUUUUAAUGGAUUUGUUUUGACCCUCAAAUUCUUGAGUGUUCAUUCAUCCUUCUCGACAUGGUUUCUCGCUCAAUCAAUAAGGAAUUCACGAUCGAUCGAUUUGGCGGAAGUGUGCUCCAAAUUCUUAUCGAUUUAGACAAGAACGUAAAGAGCAUAACCUUUUCACAAGCUUACCAGAAAGAAUUCCAUGUGGGUGUGAAGUUAAGCCGUCUUUUGGUAAGAGAUUGGUGAAGAUUGUAGUGUAAGUGAUUAGCUGAUUGCAUCACUAUCUUCACGCUGAAUUGAAUGGUAACCACUCAUUAUCUUGCUACAAUUCAUCACCAUCAUAUCUUACUCUGGUAGACCUUUUCGAUGAUGUGAUGUGUUCGCCUCAACGCAACUUUCCACUACCUUUUACCAGGAUCCUUCGGUUCGAGAGCAUGUGGGCAUGAGGUUUAAGCGGUCUUUUAAUAAGAGUUGGUUGAAGGUUUUAGUACAGAAGGUCAGCAUAUUGUAUCACCAUCUUACUAUAAUUCAUGGGCAUCACAUCGGUUAUUUUCCAACGAUAUGUGUCGUCUCAACGCAGCUUUUCACUACUUCACUCCAGAACUCUUUUAUUGUGAGUCUGUGGAUGUUGAAACACUUUUAGCAUAUUUGUUUGGUGCACUAUGGGAUGGCACCACAGUGCGAUCGAGGCGAGAAUUGGAAGAUCUUUACACUUCUCUAGAAAGGUGUUUACUCUUAUGGGAUUUUUAGUUUGCCACUUACGAGUUCUUCUUCCUUCUUUCCACCAACUUUGGCCUCGUUUGACUAGAAAUCUACAACUAAGCAAAAAUGGAGAGGUGAAUUGAGUAUUGCAACAGCUCCCUAGAGAUACUGUUGUUGGGGAAAGUGACUUCUCGUUUCUACUUGCUUGGCCAGAGCUUCUAGGUCUGCUAUUAACAUGGUAGCCACUUCUCUUGAAUUCCAAGGUAUAGUUUUCAAGUGAGUUCUUUGUUGGCAAAACAUUGGAGUAGUUGGUCACAUUUGGAAGAAUUGAGAAGGAUAUGAUGCUUAGUGCUGGAUGGAGUUGUUACGACUAUAGUUUUUAUUUUGUUGGUUGGGUACGACACUUUUGCGACGUAGUACGAAAGUUUUCUACAGGCAACACUGGUUAGCAGAGGAGUAUUGUGAACUGGUAUUCGGAUGAUUGAAUUUACGACAUGUGAAAUUGUGCACCCUCAAGAAAUUACUGCUUACUUACCGAGACAACAAAUGUGUGAUCGAUAUCGCAGGCGGCCGACUGUGGUAUUGAAAACUUAUUCGUUGGGUUCGUUGAGCAAGUGAGCAGAAAGAUCCAUCUAUGGCGGCUGAUAUAGUUUUGGAUUUGUUAUUCUUGGGACUCGAUCCAAAGACACAUUUAUUCUUGGAUUACGUGAGGUUACAAAUUCUUGGGCGAGACCCUUUCUCAUUUUUCAAUCUUGGUUUUCAGUAUAAGUAUUUUAACUUCCUUUACUUUAGUUAUUUGUUUUUGUCGUUACAAAUAUUUUGGGGGAAGUAUUUCUGUUUUUAGUUUUUAAGUUCAGCUCAAAUUUUCAACCUAUAUGUUAGUACAUAUCUAUUUUUGACGCUAUAGUAUCUUGCGUACUUAUUUUUUACCUUACGUCAAUAUGCGUUUCCGACUUUAUAUCUUUAUAAAGUAUGUUUUCUACUUUUACAUUGAUGGGGAAGAAAGUAAGAGCUUGGAGGCAUGAUAGAGGAUUUUGUAACCCGCCUCACGACGGUGUGGCAUAUUCUCUUUGAUGCACCCACUCUGACUUGAUUUCUCUUUAUAUUCUUCUUCCUAUUUUCGAGUAUUUCAAUUUAGUAAGUGAUUUUUAAAUUUCGAGGACGAAAUUUUUUUAUAAGGGGGGUAGAUUGUGAAACCUCACCCUUAAAAGUAAUGUAAUUUCAUUUUGUUUUGGGUAUUGUUUUCUUUUAAAAUUAUUUUUGGUGUUAAAUUAUGUACCACGUGGGGCCCAUCCCCUUUUUGGUCUCCUUCUUCCCUCUCUUUCCCAUCACUCUCCCUCACUCUCUCUUUCUUCUUCUCCUUCACCGUGCCACACUCAUAACCCAUAUCCUAAAAUCAUCAUCAAAUCACAAUUUCAACAUCACCAUCGUCUUUAUCUCGUCGCUACGAACUCAACCAUAGUCUUAGCAUCUUGGAAGUCGAACCAUGAAGCCCCGUACACAAGCUCCGACGCAGACUGCCCCUUUCGAGGCAAAUUCCGGCCAAACCACAGCGAGUUGGCUGGCGUGCAAUAUCAAUAUCUUCGCCCCAAUCAGUGGUCACAAGGCACUGUCCAUGUACCCGGAGUAUAUAGAGGAUGUCAUAGUCAGUUCGUUGGAUGAAUUAGCAAAAGCAAAGAAACCCGUUGAGUUCUUGAUAGAGAUUAGGAAGAUCACAUUCAGAAUAAUCAUGUUCAUUUUCUUGAGUUGUGAGGUUGGUACACUGUUGGAAACCAUGGAAAAGGAUUAUACUCUUAUGAAUCAUGGUCUAAGGGCCAUGGCCAUUAACCUUCCUGGCUUUGCUUUUCAUAAAGCCCUCAAGGUCAGAUAAUACUUGAUAAAUUUCUUCGUUUCAGUUCCUUUUUUUUCUUCUUUUUGAUUCGAGAAUCGAGAGGUAUUCUAUAAUAAUCUAAACUACAAAAAGAGAUAUUCAAACAUGGUUGAAGAGAGGGGAGUGUACUAUUGUAACCAACUUGAGAUGCGGGUCUUUAUCUAUUUCUUUUUAUGAUAUCAUUUUUUAGACUUGAAUCUCGAUAAUGAUAUUCUUACACGAAUCAGGCUAGAAAAGGGAUGGUUAAGAUUAUUCAAGGUAUUGUAGACGGAAGGCGGGCAAGAAACGAAGCUCAGAUAUCAAAGGAAAGAACAGAUUGACCGAUAUGUUAAUAGAAACCGAAGACGAGAAUGGUAACAAAUUAGAUGAUGAAGAGAUUAUAGACAUAAUUCUCAUGUACUUAAACGCUGGUCAUGAAUCUACAGCCCAUGCCACUUUGUGGGCUACUCUCUUCUUACAUGAACAUUCAGAAUACUACCAAAAAGCCAAGGUGGGUGCAUCUAUAUUUCAGUCUCUUUUUGUUUUUCGGUUAACUUGGAAAGAAAUUGUGAGAACAUGUUGUCUCCAGCUACUUUUGGUGGCCACAUUCUUCCAACCAAGGACCCUAGUUCAAUUGUUUCUGAGUUUCUUUUGAAAUAUUUUGAACCCAAUGUUAUUAUAUUUCAGGCAGAACAACUGGAGAUUCUGAAAACGGCAUCACCAGAAGAAGGAUUUAACUUUAGAGGAACUAAACAGAUGGAAUAUCUUUCCAAGGUAUGAUUUCGGUGGCUAAUUUCAACUCUUCAACCAUCUAUUUUGCUAAUAUAAUGUACGUAACAACUAACAAGUUUGAUUACUUCUGAGGUAAGGUAAUCGAUGAAACGCUGCGCAUUGUUAACGUCUCAUUGUAUAGCUACCGAGAGGCUGCUACUGAGGUCAAAAUCUUUGGUAAAUUAACUUCACUACUUUCUCCAUUCCUUGCUUAAUCUGUUAAACUCACUGGAACAUGUUGUGUCUUGAAGGUUACACAAUACCAAGGGGUUGGAAAGUAAUGAUGUGGUAUAGAGGUGUCCAUUUGAACCCAGAAUAUUAUCCAGAUCCAAAGGAGUUUAAUCCCUCCAGAUGGAAUGUAAGCAAGAUAAUGCUCAUAAUUCAAUGUAACUUGUAAUAUCAUAUGACAUGCAUGCCUUCUAGCGUAGUUUUCAACUUUUAUGCCUUGAUCAUUAUAUCUUUGACCAAUUAAUGGUUAAAAACACCAGAGUAUACUGAAAAUCGAAAUACCAGAGCAAACUGUUUUUUGACAAAGUCAAGUUGUGGUUUGAUUUUUUUUGUAGGAAAGUAAUGCCAAGGCAGGGAGUUUCAUUCCCUUUGGAAUGGGAAGUAGGCUAUGCCCUGGAAUUGAUUUGACCAAGCUUGAAAUUACAAUAUUUCUUCACUAUUUUCUCCUUAAUUAUGAGUGAGUUCCCCUUUGUUUAAUUUCCAUUUGUGCUUUGCACUUUUCUUUCAGUCAAAUAACUACGAAGUCAUGAAUACGAUAUCUGAGGUUCUAUUUGGAUACUUGGAUUUAAAAUGUGUGAUUUGAAUCCCUCCUGUCAAGUCCGAUACCGAUUGAAAUUUGGGGGCAACACAGAAGGUUAGUUUGGUGUCUAGGAUUAGACAACUCACUAUAUUCAAGAUAAUUUGAACGAAGAAAUGGAUAAAAAAAAAAUGAAGUGUCUAAUUUGAAAGUAAAAGAUGAAUUACUCAUUAAUGAAACUUAGAAGAGAUGAAAUUUCUCAUGUCUAAAAAGAAUUAUCAAUGUAUUUAAAUUCUAAGAAAUUCUUCGUAAAGCACUUUCAAGUGUUUUUUUCUAUGAAAGACGUAAGGUUUAAAAAAAAAUAUCAAUGUGUUUUCUAAUAAAAGUGUAUCCAAAACCAAUGCAAUGGUAUAUUUGGACGGUGAGGUUCCAAAUCCAAGAAUUUUAAUUAUCAUUAAAUUUUGGGUAAAUUACACAGUACCCUCUUAGGUUUAAGGUCUAUUACAAUCGCAUAAAACAUCUUCAAAACAUUUCACUUUCAUACCUCAACUACUAUUUUAUUUCAAUAUAGUACCUCCGUUACAUUUUCCAUUCAUUGAUCUGUUAAAUGCUGACGUGGCUACCACAUAUAUGCCACGUGGCUGCCAAAUGUCUGCCACGUGGCAAAUAAAAUAAUUUUUUCUUUUUAAACCUGAAUUUUCUCAAAAAAAAAAUUAUUGAAACCCACUAUCCCUCACCCCCCCCCCCACCCCCAAGCGACCCACAUCCCUAUCCCUAACCAAGAAGAAGAAGAAGAGGGAGGAAGAAGAAAAAAAAAAACCACAAACCCAGUUCGUCCCCCACCCGCAAAAAACCUGCAAUCUAGAAGAAGAAGAAGACGACGAGGAAAAAGAGGGGGGGAAAAAAAGAAAAAAAAAACCCCAGAACCCUUCCCCCCCUGGGCGCCCCACCUCGACCCGCGACCACCUCCCUUCCCCCCGCCGUCAGGAUCUCGUGAUUUUCAAUGUGUGUGAGUUUUGAAAAUACUUUUGAGUUUGAGAUGAUUUUUGGACUGGUUUUGUGGUAGAUCCACCUAAUCUCGGGUGGAAUUUUUUAGGGUGGGUGAUGGGGGAUUUUUUUGGAGGGGUGAUGGGGGAUGGGAGAAAGGGGUGGCUCGGGUGGGACGAACUGGGGCUUUUUUUCUGUUUUUUUCUUUUUCUCCCUCUUCUUCUUCUUCUUCUUCUUCUUGUUGUUGCAGGUUUUUGGGUUCUGGGUUAGGGAUGGGGAUGUGGGUCGCUUGUGGGGGCGUGAGGGAUAGUGGGUUUCAAUUUUUUUUUUUUUUUUUUUUUUGGAGAAAAUUCAAGUUUUUUAAAAAAAUAAUAAUAAAUUAUUUUUAUUUGCCACGUGGCAUAUAUGUGGCAGCCAUGGAGGUACUAUAUUGAAAUAUUGAAAUAAAAUAGUAGUUGAGGUAUGAAAGUGAAAUGUUUUGAAGAUUUUGUAUGUGAUUGUAAUAGAUCUCAAACCUGAUAGGGUACUAUGUAAUUUACCCUUAAAUUUUUUUUAAUAUAAGUGAUAUUCUACAUUAUAAUUGUUUGUUUGGAGGAGUAUAAAUUUCAAGUUCAUUAUAUCUUAACUUUAAACCAAUUAUCGAACAGUUGACCAUCAGACAUUUCAAAUUCUAAAAUGUUGUAGUAGUUUCAUCACUAUUUUUUUAUUAUUAUUAAUUAAUUAAUAUUUAAAGUUACAAAUAAUAGAUGGCCUGCAUUUGACAUUCAACUUGUUUAACUUAGAAUGCAGGCUUGAACGACUCAAUCCGGCAAUUGGAGUGAGUUACUUACCCCAUCCAAGACCCAAAGACAAUUGUCUUGCAAAAAUUAAGAAGCUUACAUCACCAUCUAUAUAACCUGAAAAAUACCAGGGCAGACUUGCUUCCACUUGUAAAAUAUGUUUACAGUCCUCAUCCGGUGGACGAUAAGAAAAUAAGAUCAUUAUACCGAGAGCUAGUUGGUGGAAGAUUACAAGGCAAAAGUGAGGCUGGCCCCUCUGUUUUUCUAUACAUCGUCAUAUUUCAGAUUUUCGAUCUUUCGAUGUUUCUGAGGAUACAACUUGGUCCUGCCAUCCUUGAACAUACUAUAGGCAUAGGGAUUGCCUUGAAGGUGUUUAUAAACAAAUCUAAGUCUUAAUCCAAUCAUAUGUACGGUCCAAUAUAAUUGGUGAAGACUAACAAGAUGGAAGUCAACAGUUGAAUGCAGUUUCUUUAUAAUAUACAAGCAAUGUUCAACUUUAAAGUAAUCUAAGGGGGUGUAGUCAAACUUGGAUUUGAGAUGAUUUUAAAAGACUUUAAAAUAAUCUUAGUGUAGUCAAUUAAAAAAUUUUAAAGGAUUUUAGAAUCUAUUCAAAUCUAGGUGUAGUCAAUUAAAAGAUUUUAAAGGAUUUUAAAAUCCAUCCAAAUCUAAGUGUAUUUAAAAAAUUAAGAUUUUGGAGGAUUUCAAUAAGUUGUGGAUUUUGUAGAAUUUGAGAGCAAAAAGUAUAUAUAACCAAACUAAAAAGAAUUCAACCUCAUCCUCUAGGAUUUCAAAUCAUUUCACCACAAUCCACCACAAUCUAUUCAAAUUCUUUAAAAUCCAUAUGCCCACGCUUACUCCUGCAAUGAUUGAAUGGACCUUUAAUAUCUCUCCUUUUUUUUGUAUGAAAACGAAUCCAUGAACCUUUUUUCGGUUUUGAUUCAACAAGUACUUUUAUUCACUUAAAAUGUAGGCAGAAGGUUGAAACAUGAGGUUUGACUUAGAUUCUGCAGUACUUUGAUAAAUAUUUAACAACUUAACCAAACAUUAAUUAAACCUUAAACAGCUGAAAAUCAAUUAGUUCAAUGGGCUGCAUUUUCUUCCUCACAAAACUUCGUGUAUUCUUUAGGUCCCAACAAGGAUUCUAGUUCUGAUGGACUACUGGGCUUGAUCUUGAUCAUCCAUCCAUCUUCAUAUGGGCUCGAAUUGAUCUAAAUAUACCCAAAAUAAAUUAACGGUUUAGCAGCAUAACAUGUCAAAUUGUUUGAACAAGAGUACGAUACUGUGUCUAAACAUGGAUGCACUCAUGCACGGUAGAACAAAUAUUUGAACAAUAAUAUAUAUUGAAAGAAGGAUAAGCAUUGUUUUAGGAAAAAGAAAAAGGAAGAUGAAUUACCAAACCAGGUGAUUCAGUAAGCUUUGAGUUAACCUCGACAACUUCGCCGGAGAUUGGGGAAUUUACAUCACUGGUUGCUUUGACACUUUCCACAGCUCCAAAGCUGCCUCCUUGAGAGACUGAGCGACCAGCUUCUGGUAGCUCAACAAACACUACUUCUCCAAGAUGGUCCUGAAACAAAGCUUCAUCUGCAUCACUCACUCCAUGGGCUAAUACUUUAUCAUAUUAUAUUUUAUUAAGUAUCGAAAUAAUAUUAUGGAAACGAGAAUAAUUACAUUUAAUGCUCAAACAAUACAAUUUUAAAAAAUAAAAUGAUUCUUCAACCCAAUUGCAAAAGCCAUUGAUAUUAAAGGUUCAGAGACCAGUGGAAUGGAUAUAAUAAUUAUAUUAAUAUAUUAACCUGAGCAUGAUCAGUGAUGCCAAUUGUUGCCACAGAGCCUUCAUGCUUCACCCACUCAUGUGAAGAUGCAUACUUCAAUCCAUCCAAAACUGCAAUAUCCAAACAUAACCCCCAACAUUACAAUUCUUUUCAACUUAAUUACCCUACAACAACAAAUUUUAAAAUACCCCAAAUACACAGCACUCCUAAAAUCACUCUUUUCUUUGACAAACAAUGAUAUUUACACUAAAUUAAACCAAACUACGAGGUAGGGGAUUCAAACUUAGAUGCAAGUUGCAAAUGAUGGAGCACACUGCUCUAGUCAACUAUGCUGAAACCAAGUCUGCAUAGCACUCAAAUUCUAGUUGAACAAAAUUAUGCAUGCAUUGGCUGCGUCCUUUGAUAUAAGUGAAAAGGUAGGCCCUUCUAUAAUUAUAGUUAUACCAAACAAAUGUAAUAUGAAGUUGAAGAAAGGUGUGUAAUUUACGUACCAGUAGAAAAGCAUCUGGAGAUAGAAAAUGCAGGAGCGAGGUGGGAUUUGGAGGCAGUGGAGAUUCUGAGUGCAUUGGCUGUAGAAGAAGCCCACAUUCUCAGUGCCAUAUUUCUUCUCUCUCUCUCUGCUUAAUUCUAUCUCUCUCUGUGUGUGUCUGGUUAUCUCAAACCACCAGAGGCUAAUAUCGAAGAAAGGAGGGAAGGACACACUUCGGAUGGGAUAUGUCGUUUUAUCUUGGAUGAAUGGUUGGCAACAAAAGCCUCAUCCCAAGUUUUAAAAACAAAGACCCAGUUUAAUUUAAUUUAUUUUUAUUUUUUUAGUUAUUAUUUUAUGAAUCUCAACUCAAGUAAACUUGUUUUAACUUUUAGCUUGUCCUCAUCGUCAUUGUGAAAAAAUCAAAUUUGAGAAAGUGAAUAUGAAUCCCACGUCAAAGAAUGAAUGAAUUUUAUAUGUGCUUGUAAGUAGUUGAGUUACUUAUCGUAUACUAAUUUGUUUUAUGGUGAAAUCUAAAAUUUUUUAUCGUAUCGAGCAGGUUGUCUCAUAUCUAAAGUUCAAAAGAUCGCACGUGUUGUAGGUCCUCCCAUUUGUGUUCUAUGUCCUCCAAUUUGUGUUGUCCUGUUAGGCUCGAAACUUCGUCACACGUGAUAGGGCGUGUUAAGAGUAUGAAUCUCACAUUCGAGAAAGAAAGGAUCUUGUAUGUGUUUUUAAGUAAUUGAACUACUCCUCUUAUAUUCUCAAUUGGUUUUGUAAUGAAACCUCAACUUUCUGCAAAAAUACUUUGUAUUUUAUGAAACUUGAGAAAUUUGGCAGUUGGACUACAACUAAAGUAUGUCAUUAUUUAAGUAGAUUUCAAGAGUUUAAUUCAAAUUCUAAAAUAAAAAUUCUAAAUACGUAUUAUCGAGACAUGGCUAAUAUUCGAUUUCAAUGUACUAUAGGGAAAUUAACACAGUAGCAGUGUAGUAUAAUGACACUUGUAUUUAGUUUUUUCAAUUUUCUUAUGAAAGUUAAUACUUAUGAACAAUUUUGUUAGGGUGAUGUUAGGAAGACCAAGGAUGAAAAUAUCGAUAUUAUCGGCGAUAUUUCGCCGAUAAUAUCGUUUUUUUUAGAUAACGAUAUUUUUACAUAUAUCCACUUAAUUAUCGUCCAAAUAUCGCGAUAUUUUCGAUAUCUUUUCAAUAUUUUCAAGAUAUUUUCGAUAUUUUCGCAAGGAGGAUGCUCCGACGAGGAAGAAGAAGGAGCAGAGCUGGAAGAGGCGGAGGAGGGCUUAUUGAACGGUGGAAAGGGAGUGGAGCCACCGGAAUCCGCCGAGCGCGUGGACUCCUCUAGACCGAAGGUGCCGAGCCAGAUCCGGGUCUUCUUCCACGGGUCACGGAUCUCAGCAGCAAACCGGCCCCACGGUCUUUUCCGAACCCCUCGGUACCGGACCUCUUUUCCAAUACAGGGUCUGGAUCCGGUGGGUUCGGCCGGCGGCACUGUGGGUCUCGUAGCGGCUCCUCUUCCCCUCUUCAUGGCCAAGAAUCGGGCUUUUUAGAGUCUGAUGGUCAUAGAAAGAAUUGGGUGUUUGAGAGAUUUGGAUUGGGAAAAAUUGAAAGAUGGGUUUUGCAGAGACAGGAAGAGAAGAGAGAGAGAGAGAGGAUAUGGGGGAAGGUUUGCUUAGAGGGAUGGGUGGGAGAAGAACUGGAUGGCACCAGCACCACCUUCCCUUCUACACAAAAAAUAUAUAAAUAAUAAUGAUUUUUUUGGUUUUUGGUUUCUGGGAUUAUUUUUUUAUUUAUUUUUUGGGGUUUCUGGCUGAGAUAAAAUUGGCUUUUUUUUUUUUUGAACUUUUUUCCAGGUCAAAGAAAAGAAAUAGGGUAUUUUGGUUGUUUCUUUUUCUUUGGUUUCUUUGUUCCUUCCUUUCUCGAUUAGUGUAGCUUAUGUUGCCCCCACAAACCGACCGGACUCGAUUUCUUUGCUUCUCCCUUUAUCAUUCUCGUCCUCCCAUUUUAUUUUUUUCAAGUUUCGUAAAUUAUGAAUUUUCGUUUCUUCCCUUUUCGGCUUUUCCACCGCGUUCCAAAUCUAAAAUGUUUUAUGUUAUUUAGCAAAACGAUUAUUUUUUGUUCUUUGUAUUUUUAAGUCAAAGUCAAACAGUGUCCUAAGUUUGACAUCAAAUUAUCACGAAUUCAAUAUCAAUUUUGUUUUGUUGGUUUUUUUAUGUAUUUAAGUUUACAUAUUACAAUUAAAUGAUAAUCAUCUUUAUUUGUAAGUUAAUAAAAUCUUAAAUUGGAUGCCAAUUUAUCACAAAUUCUAUACUAAAUUAUCAAUGUUAGCACUUGUGUGGCAUGACCAAAAUCCACACUCCUACAUUAAUUACUACAUAUUUUCUACACUCAUAAUGUUUGUCAGCUCGCUAUAUAAUCAACUUGAUAAUGUUAAAUUCAUCAUGCAAUGCAUUUCCUUCCAAUUUUUUGUGAUAA